rnacentral:lncRNA from 1 species
AAGGAGCACACAGAACAUCUCUCUCUCUCUCUCUCUCUCUCUCUCUCUCUCUCUCUCUCUCUCUCUCUCUGACCAAUCAAACUUCAAUAAUAACAUCAGCCGAUUGAUGAUCAUAAAACAAUAAUACAGAAAAGAACCAAGACGAGGAAUGUGUACAUUACAAAGGAAACUAGGUUCUUCUACUUUAACAUCCAUGUCCGUGGGUGUUUCCAUCUUCCAAGAUUUUCGCCGCCGCUAAUUUACACCCAUGAGAACUCCCCAACUCUUCCAGAAAGCGGUUUGAAGAUCAUAUACAUCGCUAACCAAACUAUCACUCAGGAACAAAUAUGAUGUUGAAUUUGUCAGGCUUUGCUUACAGAGCAAACCGAAAAUUAUAUUCCAACUCUAAAUACAGGCUUCACCAUAAGUCUGUAUAAAACCAUAUGCUUUGAUCACCUUAUCAAAGCGUAUAUUCCAACUCCGAAAUGCUUGCACCAGUCCAUAGAUGGAUCACUGGAGUUUGCACACUUUAUUAGCACCUUUAGGAUCGACAAAACCUUUUGGUUGCAUCAUAUACAACUCUUCUUUAAGAAAUCCGUUAAGGAAUGCAGUUUUGACAUCCAUUUGCCAGAUUUCAUAAAAUGCGGCAAUUGCUAACAUGAUUCGGACAGACUUAAGCAUCGCUAGGAGUGAGAAAAUCUCAUCAUAGUCAACACCUUAAACUUGUCGAAAACCUUUUUGCGACAAAUCGAGCUUUGUAGAUAGUAACACUACCAUCAGCGUCCGUCUUCCUCUUGAGGAUCCAUUUAUUCUCAAUGGCUUGCCGAUCAUCGGGAAAGUCCACCAAAGUCCACACUUUGUUCUCAUACAUGGAUCCUAUCUCAGAUUUCAUGGCCUCAAGCCAUCUGUCGGAAUCUGGGCUCAUCAUAGCUUCUCCAUAGUUCGUAGGUUCGCCAUGCAUGACUUUCAGGAUAGGAUUACCAUACCACUCCGGUGCGGAACAUGCUCUAUUCGACCUACGAGGUCGAGUAGUAACUUGAUCCUAAGUUUCCUGAUCAUCAUCAUUAGCUUCCUCUCUAGUUGGUGUAGGCAUCACGGGAACGGAUUUCACUGAUGUGCUACUUUCCAAUUCGAGAGAAGGUGCAAUUACCUCAUCAAGUUCUACUUUCCUCCCAUUCACUUCUUUCGAGAGAAACUCCUUCUCUAGAAAGGUUCCAUUCUCGGCAACAAAGAUCUUGCCUUUCAGAUCUGUGGUAGAAUGUAUACCCAAUUGCUUCCUUAGGGUAUCCUAUGAAGACGCACUUCUCUAAUUUGGGUUCGAGCUUAUCAGGAUGAAGCCUUUUGACAUAAGUGUCGCAACCCCAAAUUUUAAGAAAUGAUAGCUUAGGUUUCUUGCUAAACCACAGUUCAUACGGUGUCGUCUCAACGGAUUUAGACGGUGCCCUAUUUAACGUGAAUGCGGCUGUCUCUAAUGCAUAACCCCAAAACGAUAGUGGAAAAUCAGUAAGAGACAUCAUAUAUCGCACCAUAUCUAAUAAAGUUUGGUUACGACGUUCGGACACGCCAUUACGCUGUGGUGUUCCAGGUGGCGUGAGUUGUGAAACUAUUCCACAUUGUUUUAAAUGAAGGCCAAACUCGUAACUCAAAUAUUCGCCUCCGCGAUCAGAUCGUUGAAACUUUAUUUUCUUGUUACGAUGAUUCUCCAGUUCACUUUGAAAUUCUUUGAACUUUUCAAAUGUUUCAGACUUGUGUUUCAUUAAGUAGAUAUACCCAUAUCUGCUCAAAUACUUAUCGGACCGCAUAAAUCGGUAUGUAUUAUUUCCAAUAAGUCAUUGGCUCGCUCCAUUGUUCCGGAGAACAGAGUUUUAGUCAUCUUGCCCAUGAGGCAUGGUUCGCAAGUAUCAAAUGAUUCAUAAUCAAGUGAUUCCAAAACCCCAUCUGCAUGGAGUUUCUUCAUACUUUACACCAAUAUUACCUAAGCGGCAGUGCCACAAGUAUGUUGCACUAUCAUUAUCAACUUUGUAUCUUUCGGCAUCAAUAUUAUGAAUAUGUGUAUCACUACGAUCGAGAUUCAAUAAACCAUAUACAUUGGGUGUAUAACCAUAGAAGGUUUUAUUCAUGUAAACAGAACAACAAUUAUUCUCUGACUUAAAUGAAUAACAGUAUCGAAAUAAACAUGAUCCAAUUAUAUUCAUGCUCAACGCAAACACCAAAUAACAUUUAUUUAGGUCCAACACUAAUCCCGAAGGUAGAGGGAGUGUGCGACGGUGAUCUUAUCAACCUUGGAAUCACUUCCAACACACAUCGUCACCUCGCCCUUAACUAGUCUUUGUUCAUUUUGCAACUCCUGUUUCGAAUUACUAAUCUUAGCAGCUGAACCGGUAUCAAAUACCCAGGGGUUACUAUGAACACUAGUAAAGUACACAUCAAUAGCAUGUAUAUCAAAUAUACCUUUGUUCACUUUGCCAACCUUCUUAUCCGCCAAGUAUUUGGGGUAGUUCCGCUUCCAGUAACCAUUCCCUUUGCAGUAGAAUCACUCAGUUUCAGGCUUAGGUCUAGUUUUGGGCUUCUUCACGGGAGUGGCAACUUGCUUGUCAUUCUUCUUGAAGUUCCCUUUCUUUUCCUUUGCUCUUUUUCUUGACAAUAGUGGUCUUGUUAACCAUCAACACUUGAUGCUCUUUCUUGAUUUCUACCUUCGCCGAUUUCAGCAUCGCGAAGAGCUCGGGAAUCUUUUUCGUUAUCCCUUGCACAUUAUAGUUCAUCACGAAGUUCUAGUAGCUUGGUGAUAGUGACUAGAGAACUCUAUCAAUCACUAUCUUAUCUGGAAGAUUAACUCCCACUUGAUUCAAGCAAUUGUAGUGCCCAAACAUUCUGAGCACAUGCUCACUAGCUAAGCUAUUCUCCUCCAUCUUGUAGGCAAAGUACUUGUCAUAGGUCUCAUACCUCUCGACACGGGAUGAGUCUGAAAUACCAAUUUCAUCUCUUGGAACAUCUUAUAUGCUCCAUGGCGUUCAAAAUGGUUUUGAAGUCCCGAUUCUAAGCCGUAAAGCAUGGGGCACUAAACUAUCAAGUAGUAAUCAUAUCGAGCUUGCCAAACAUUCAUAACGUCUGCAUCUGCUCCUGCAAUAGGUCUGUCACCUAGCGGUGCAUCAAGGACAUAAUUCUUAUGUGCAGCAAUGAGGAUAAUCCUCAUAUCACAGAACCAGUCCGCAUCAUUGCUACUAUCAUCUUUCAACUUAGUUUUCUCUAGGAACAUAUCAAAAAACAUAGGGAGCUAUAACGCGAGUUAUUGAUCUACAACAUAAUUUGCAAAUACUAUCAGGACCAAGUUCAUGAUAAAUUAAAGUUCAAUUAAUCAAAUUACUUAAGAACUCCCACUAAAGCUGACAUCCCUCAAGUCAUCUAAGUGUAACGUGAUCCAAAUCAACUAAACCAUGUCCGAUCAUCACGUGAGAUGGAGUAGUCAUCAAUGGUGAACAUCUCUAUGUUGAUCAUAUCUACUAUAUGAUUCACGUUCGACCUUUCGGUCUCCAGUGUUCCGAGGCCAUGUCUGUACAUGCUAGGCUCGUCAAGUUUGACCUGAGUAUUCCGCAUGUGCAAAACUGUCUUGCACCCGUUGUAUGUGAACGUAGAGCCUAUCACACCCGAUCAUCACGUGGUGUGUCAGCACAAAGAACUUCCGCAACGGUGCAUACUGAUGUCUACUACACAACCUUCUCCUUGUAGACGUUGUUGGGCCUCCAAGUGCGGAGGUUUGUAGAACAGUAGCAAAUUUCCCUCAAGUGGAUGACCUAAGGUUUAUCAAUCCGUGGGAGGUGUAGGAUGAAGAUGGUCUCUCUCAAACAACCCUGCAACCAAAUAACAAAGAGUCUCUUGUGUCCCCAACACACCCAAUACAAUGGUAAAUUGUAUAGGUGCACUAGUUCGGCGAAGAGAUGGUGAUACAAGUGCAAUUGGUGGUAGAUAUAGGUUUUUGUAAUCUGAAAUUAUAAAAACAGCAAGGUAACUAAUGAUAAAAGUGAGCGUAAACGUUAUUGCAAUGCUAGGAAACAAGGCCUAGGGUUCAUACUUUCACUAGUGCAAGUUCUCUCAACAAUAAUAACAUAACUGGAUCAUAUAACUAUCCCUCAACAUGCAACAAAGAGUCACUCCAAAGUCACUAAUAGCGGAGAACAAACGAAGAGAUUAUUGUAGGGUACGAAACCACCUCAAAGUUAUUCUUUCUGAUCGAUCUAUUCAAGAGUCCGUAGAAAAAUAACACGAAGCUAUUCUUUCCGUUCGAUCUAUCAUAGAGUUCGUACUAGAAUAACACCUUAAGACACAAAUCAACCAAAACCCUAAUGUCACCUAGAUACUCCAAUGUCACCUCAAGUAUCCGUGGGUAUGAUUAUACGAUAUGCAUCACACAAUCUCAGGUUCAUCUAUUCAACCAACACAAAGUACUUCAAAGAGUGCCCCAAAGUUUCUACCGGAGAGUCAAGACGAAAACGUGUGCCAACCCCUAUGCAUAAGUUCACAAGGUCACUGAACCCGCAAGUUGAUCACCAAAACAUACAUCAAGUAGAUCACGUGAAUAUCCCAUUGUCACCACAGAUAAGCACAUGCAAGACAUACAUCAAGUGUUCUCAAAUCCUUAAAGACUCAAUCCGAUAAGAUAACUUCAAAGGGAAAACUCAAUCCAUUACAAGAGAGUAGAGGGGGAGAAACAUCAUAAGAUCCAACUAUAAUAGCAAAGCUCGCGGUACAUCAAGAUCAUGCCAAAUCAAGAACACGAGAGAGAGAGAGAUCAAACACAUAGCUACUGGUACAUACCCUCAUCCCCGAGGGUGAACUACUCCCUCCUCGUCAUGGAGAGCGCCGGGAUGAUGAAGAUGGCCACCGGAGAGGGAUCCCCCCCUCCGGCAGGGUGCCGGAACGGGUCUAGAUUAGUUUUCGGUGGCUCUGGAGGUUUGCGGCGGCGGAACUCCCGAUCUAUUGUGUUCCCCGAUGUUUUUAGGGUAUAUGGACAUAUUGUUGGGGAACGUAGUAAUUUCAAAAAAAUUCCUACGCACACGCAAGAUCAUGGUGAUGCAUAGCAACGAGAGGGGAGAGUGUUGUCCACGUACCCUCGUAGACCGACAGCGGAAGCGUUAUCACAACGCGGUUGAUGUAGUCGUACGUCUUCACGAUCCGACCGAUCAAGUACCAAACGCACGGCACCUCCGAGUUCUACACACGUUCAGCUCGAUGACGUCCCUCGAACUCCGAUCCAGCCGAGUGUUGAGGGAGAGUUUCGUCAGCACGACGGCGUGGUGACGGUGAUGAUGUUCUACCGACGCAGGGCUUCGCCUAAGCUCCGCAAUGAUAUUAUCGAGGUGUAAUUUGGUGGAGGGGGCACCGCACACGGCUAAAAGAUCUCAUGGAUCAAUUGUUGUGUCUCUGGGGUGCCCCCCUGCCCCCGUAUAUAAAGGAGCAAGGGAGGAGGAGGCCGGCCCUAGGAGGGGGCGCACCAAGUGUGGAGUCCUACUAGGACUCCCUAGUCCUAGUAGGAUUCCACCUCCCAUAUGGAAUAAGAAAAGAGGAAGGGAAAAAGAGAAGGAAGGAAGGGGGUGCCCCCCUUCCCUAGUCCAAUUCGGACCAGACCAAGGGGAGGGGUGCGGCCACCCUUGAGGCCCUUUUUCUUCUUUCCCGUAUGGCCCAAUAAGGCCCAAUACGUAUUCCCGUAACUCUCCGGUACUCCGAAAAAUACCCGAAUCACUCGGAACCUUUCCGAAGUCCGAAUAUAGUCGUCCAAUAUAUCGAUCUUUACGUCUCGACCAUUUCGAGACUCCUCGUCAUGUCCCCGAUCUCAUCCGGGACUCCGAACUCCUUCGGUACAUCAACAUACAUAAACUCAUAAUAAAACUGUCGUCGUAACUUUAAGCGUGCGGACCCUACGGGUUCGAGAACUAUGUAGACAUGACCGAGACACGUCUCCGGUCAAUAACCAAUAGCGGGACCUGGAUGCCCAUUUUGGCUCCCACAUAUUCUACGAAGAUCUUUAUCGGUCAGACCGCAUAACAACAUACGUUGUUCCCUUUGUCAUCAGUAUGUUACUUGCCCGAGAUUCGAUCGUCGGUAUCUCGAUACUUCAUUCAAUCUCGUUACCGGCAAGUCUCUUUACUCAUUCCGUAACACAUCAUCCCGCAACUAACUUAUUAGUCACAAUGCUUGCAAGGCUUAUAGUGAUGUGCAUUACCGAGUGGGCCCAGAGAUACCUCUCCGACAAUCGGAGUGACAAAUCCUAAUCUCGAAAUACGCCAACCCAACAAGUACCUUUGGAGACACCUGUAGAGCACCUUUAUAAUCACCCAUUUACGUUGUGACAUUUGGUAGCACACAAAGUGUUCCUCCGGUAAACGGGAGUUGCAUAAUCUCAUAGUCAGAGGAACAUGUAUAAGUCAUGAAGAAAGCAAUAGCAGCAUACUAAACGAUCGGGUGCUAAGCUAACGGAAUGGGUCAAGUCAAUCACGUCAUUCUCCUAAUGAGGUGAUCUCGUUAAUCAAAUGACAGCUUAUGUCUAUGGCUAGGAAACAUAACCAUCUUUGAUUAACGAGCUAGUCAAGUAGAGGCAUACUAGUGACACUGUGUUUGUCUAUGUAUUCACACAUGUAUUAUGUUUCUGGUUAAUACAAUUCUAGCAUGAAUAAUAAACAUUUAUCAUGAUAUAAGGAAAUAAAUAAUAACUUUAUUAUUGCCUCUAGGGCAUAUUUCCUUCAGUCUCCCACUUGCACUAGAGUCAAUAAUCUAGUUCACAUCGCCAUGUGAUUUAACAUGAAUAGUUCACAUCACCAUGUGAUUAACACCCAUGGUUCACAUCGUCAUGUGACCAUCACCCAAAGGGUUUACUAGAGUCAGUAAUCUAGUUCACAUCGCUAUGUGAUUAACACCCAAAGAGUACUAAGGUGUGAUCAUAUUUUACUUGUGAGAUAAUUUUAGUCAACGGGUCUGUCACAUUCAGAUCCGUAAGUAUUUUGCAAAUUUCUAUGUCUACAAUGCUCUGCAUGGAGCUACUCUAGCUAAUUGCUCCCACUUUCAAUAUGUAUCUAGACCGAGACUUAGAGUCAUCUAGAUUAGUGUCAAAACUUGCAUCGACGUAACCUUUUACGACGAGCCUUUUGUCACUUUCAUAAUCGAGAAACAUAUCCUUAUUCCAGUAAGGAUAAUUUUGACCGAUGUCCAGUGAUCUACUCCUAGAUCACUAUUGUACUCCCUUGCCAAAAUCAGUGUAGGGUAUACAAUAGAUCUGGUACACAGCAUGGCAUACUUUAUAGAACCUAUGGCCAAGGCAUAGGGAAUGACUUUCAUUCUCUUUCUAUCUUUUGCCGUGGUCGGGCUUUGAGUCUUUACUCAAUUUCACACCUUGUAACAUAGGCAAGAACUCUUUUCUUUGACUGUUCUAUUUUGAACUACUUCAAAAUCUUGUUAAGGUAUGUACUCAUUGAAAAACUCAUCAAGCGUCUUCAUCUAUCUCUAUAGAUCUUGAUGCUUAAUAUGUAAGCAGCUUCACCGAGGUCUUUCGUUGAAAAACUCAUUUCAAAACACUCCUUUAUGCUUUACAGAAUAAUUCUACAUUAUUUCCGAUCAACAAUAUGUCAUUCACAUAUACUUAUCAGAAAUGUUGUAGUGCUCCCACUCACUUUCUUGUAAAUACAGGCUUUACCGCAAGUCUGUAUACAACUAUAUGCUUUGAUCAACUUAUCAAAGCGUAUAUUCCAACUCCGAGAUGCUUGCACCAGUCCAUUGAUGGAUCGCUGGAGCUUGCAUAUUUUGUUAGCACCUUUAGGAUUGACAAAACCUUCUGGUUGUAUCAUAUACAACUCUUCUUUAAUAAAUCCAUCAAGGAAUGCAGUUUUGUUUAUCCCUUUGCCAGAUUUCAUAAAAUGCGGCAAUUGCUAACAUGAUUCGGACAGACUUAAGCAUAGAUACGAGGGAGAAACUCUCAUCAUAGUCAACAUCUUGAACUUGUCGAAAACCUUUUUGCGACAAUUCUAGCUUUGUAGAUAGUGAUACUACUAUCAGCGUCCGUCUUCCUCUUGAAAAUCCAUUUAUUCUCAAUUGCUUGCCGAUCAUCGGGCAAGUCAACCAAAGUCCACACUUUGUUCUCAUACAUGGAUCUCAUCUCAGACUUCAUGGCCUCAAGCCAUUUUGCGGAAUCUGGGCUCACCAUCGCUUCUUCAUAGUUUGUAGGUUCGUCAUGGUCUAGUAACAUAACCUCCAGAACAGGAUUACCGUACCACUCUGGUGCGGAUCUUACUCUGGUUUACCUACGAGGUUUGGUAGUAACUUGAUCUGAAGUUACAUGAUCAUCAUCAUUAACUUCCUCACUAAUUGGUGUAUAAGUCACAGGAACAGAUUUCUGUGAUCCAAUAAGGGAGCAGGUACAGUUACCUCAUCAAGUUCUACUUUCCUCCCACUCACAUCUUUCGAGAGAAACUCCUUCUCUAGAAAGGAUCCAUACUUAGCAACAAAUGUCUUGCCUUCGGAUCUGUGAUAGAAGGUGUACCCAACUGUCUCCUUUGGGUAUCCUAUGAAGACACAUUUCUCCGAUUUGGGUUUGAGCUUAUCAGGAUGAAAUUUUUUCACAUAAGCAUCGCAACCCCAAAAUUUUAAGAAACGACAACUUUGGUUUCUUGCCAAACCACAGUUCAUAAGGCGUCGUCUCAACAGAUUUUGAUGGUGCCCUAUUUAACGUGAAUGUAGCUGUCUCUAAUGCAUAACCCAAAACGAUAGUGGUAAAUUGGUAAGAGACAUCAUAGAUUGCACUAUAUCCAAUAAAGUACGGUUAUGACGUUCGGACACACCACUACACUGUGGUGUUCCAGGUGGCGUGAGUAGUGAAACUAUUUCACAUUGUUUUAACUGAAGGCCAAACUCGUAACUCAAAUAUUUUACCUCUGCGAUUAUAUCAUAGAAACUUUUAUUUUCUGCUGACGAUGAUUCUCCACUUCACUCUGAAAUUCUUUGAACUUUUCAAAUGUUUCAGACUUUGUGUUUCAUCAAGUAGAUAUACCCAUAUCUGCUCAAAUCAUCUGUGAAGGUCAGAAAAUAAUGAUACCUGCUACGAGCCUCAAUAUUCAUCGGACCACAUACAUCUGUAUGUAUGAUUUCCAACAAAUCUGUUGCUCUCUCCAUAGUUCCGGAGAACGACGUUUUAGUCAUCUUGCCCAUGAGGCACGGUUCGCAAGCAUCAAGUGAUUCCAAAAUCCCAUCAGUAUGGAGUUUCUUCAUGCGCUUUACACCAAUAUGACCUAAACGGCAGUACCACAAAUAAGUUGCACUAUCAUUAUUAACUUUGCAUCUUUUGGCUUCAAUAUUAUGAAUAUGUGUAUCACUACGAUCGAGAUCCAACAAACCAUUUUCGUUGGUGUGUAUGACCAUAAAGGUUUUAUUCAUGUAAACAGAACAACAAUUGUUCUCUAACUUAAAUGAAUAACCGUAUUGCAAUAAACAUGAUCAGAUCAUAUUCAUGCUCAACGCAAACACCAAAUAACACUUAUUUAGUUUCAACACUAAUCCCGAAAGUACAGGGAGUGUGCGAUGAUGAUCAUAUCAAUCUUGGAACUACUUCCAACACACAUCGUCACCUCGCCUUUUACUAGUCUCUGUUUAUUCUGCAACUCCCGUUUUCGAGUUACUCCUCUUUAGCAACUGAACCAGUAUCAAUUACCGAGGGGUUGCUAUAAACACUAGUAAAGUACACAUCAAUAAUCUGUAUAUCAAAUAUACCUUUGUUCACUUUUACUAGUCUCUGUUUAUUCUGCAACUCCCGUUUCGAGUUACUACUCUUAGCAACUGAACCAGUAUCAAUUACCGAGGGAUUGCUAUAAACACUAGUAAAGUACACAUCAAUAAUCUGUAUAUCAAAUAUACCUUUGUUCACUUUGCCAUCCUUCUUAUCCACCAAAUAGUUGGGGUAGUUCCGCUUCCAGUGACCAGUCCCUUUGCAGUAGAAGCACUUAGUCUCAGGCUUAGGACCAGACUUAGGCUUCUUCACUUGAGCAGCAACUUGCUUGCCGUUCUUUUUGAAGUUCCCCUUUUUCCCUUUGCCCUUUUCUUGAAACUAGCGGUCUCGUCAACCAUCAACACUUGAAGUGGUCUCGUCAACCAUCAACACUUGAUGUUUUUCUUGAUUUCUACCUUCGUCGAUUUCAACAUCACGAAGAGCUCGGGAAUUACUUUCGUCAUCCCUUGCAUACCAUAGUUCAUCACGAAGUUCUACUAACUUGGUGAUGGUGACUAGAGAAUUCUGUCAAUCACUAUUUUAUCUGGAAGAUAAACUCCCACUUGAUUCAAGCGAUUGUAGUACCCAGACAAUCUGAGCACAUGCUCACUAGUUGAGCGAUUCUCCUCCAUCUUUUUGCUAUAGAACUUGUUGGAGAUUUCAUAUCUCUCAACUCGGGUAUUUGCUUGAAAUAUUAACUUCAACUCCUGGAACAUCUCAUAUGGUCCAUGACGUUCAAAACGUCUUUGAAGUCCCGAUUCUAAGCCGUUAAGCAUGGUGCACUAAACUAUCAAGUAGUCAUCAUAUUGAGCUAGCCAAACGUUCAUAACGUCUGCAUCUGCUCCUGCAAUAGAUCUGUCACCUAGCGGUGCAUCAAGGACAUAAUUUUUCUGUGCAGCAAUGAGGAUAAUCCUCAGAUCACGGAUCCAAUCCGCAUCUUUGCUACUAACAUCUUUCAACAUAAUUUUUUUCUAGGAACAAAAAAUAAACACAGGGAAGCAACAACGCGAGCUAUUGAUCUACAACAUAAUUUGCAAAAUACUAUCAGGACUAAGUUCAUGAUAAAUUUAAGUUCAAUUAAUCAUAUUACUUAAGAACUCCCACUUAGAUAGACAUAUCUCUAAUCAUCUAAGUGAUUACGUGAUCCAAAGCAACUAAACCAUGUCCGAUUAACACGUGAGAUGGAGUAGUUUCAAUGGUGAACAUCACUAUGUUGAUCAUAUCUACUAUAUGAUUCACGCUCGACCUUUCGGUCUCUGUGUUCCGAGGCCAUAUCUGUAUAUGCUAGGCUCGUCAAGUUUAACCUGAGUAUUCCGCGUGUGCAACUGUUUUGCACCCGUUGUAUUUGAACGUAGAGCCUAUCACACCCGAUUAACACGUGGUGUCUCAGCACGAAGAACUUUUGCAACGGUGCAUACUCAGGGAGAACACUUUUAUCUUGAAAUUUUAGUGAGAGAUCAUCUUAUAAUGCUACCGUCAAUCAAAGCAAGAUAAGAUGCAUAAAGGAUUAACAUCACAUGCAAUCAAUAUAAGUGAUAUGAUAUGGCCAUCAUCAUCUUGUGCUUGUGAUCUCCAUCUCCGAAGCACCGUGCUUGUGAUCUCCAUCUCCGAAGCACCGUCAUGAUCACCAUCGUCACCGGCGCGACACCUUGAUCUCCAUCGUAGCAUCGUUGUCGUCUCGCCAACUUAUUGCUUUUACGACUAUCGCUACCGCUUAGUGAUAAAGUAAAACUAUUACAUGGCGAUUGCAUCUCAUACAAUAAAGCGACAACCAUAUGGCUCCUGCCAGUUGCUGAUGACUCGGUUACAAAACAUGAUCAUCUCAUACAACACAUUAUAUCACAUCAUGUCUUGACCAUAUCACAUCACAACAUGCCCUGCAAAAACAAGUUAGACGUCCUCUACUUUGUUGUUGCAAGUUUUACGUGGCUGCUACGGGCUUAGCAAGAACCGUUCUUACCUACGCAUCAAAACCACAACGAUAGUUUGUCAAGUUGGUGUUGUUUUAACCUUCGCAAGGACCGGGCGUAGCCACACUCGGUUCAACUAAAGUGAGAGAGACAGACACCCGCCAGUCACCUUUAAGCAACGAGUGCUCCGAACGGUGAAACCAGUCUCGCAUAAGCGUACGCGUAAUGUCGGUCCGGGCCGCUUCAUCUCACAAUACCGCUGAACCAAAGUAUGACAUGCUGGUAAGCAGUAUGACUUAUAUCGCCCACAACUCACUUGUGUUCUACUCGUGCAUAGCAUCAACGCAUAAAACUAGGCUCGGAUGCCACUGUUGGGGAACGUAGUAAUUUCAAAAAAUUUCCUAUGCACACGCAAGAUCAUGGUGAUGCAUAGCAACGAGAGGGGAGAGUGUUGUCCACGUACCCUCGUAGACCGACAGCGGAAGCGUUAUCACAACGCGGUUGAUGUAGUCGUACGUCUUCACGAUCCGACCGAUCAAGUACCGAACGCACGGCACCUCCGAGUUCUACACACGUUCAGCUCGAUGACGUCCCUCGAACUCCGAUCCAGCCGAGUGUUGAGGGAGAGUUUCGUCAGCACGACGGUGUGGUGACGAUGAUGAUGUUCCACCGACGCAGGGCUUCGCCUAAGCUCCGCAACGGUAUUAUCGAGGUGUAAUAUGGUGGAGGGGGGCACCGCACACGGCUAAGAGAUCUCAAGGAUCAAUUGUUGUGUCUCUGGGGUGCCCCCCUGCCCCCGUAUAUAAAGGAGCAAGGGGGAGGCAGCCGGCCAAGGGGAGAGGCGCGCCAUAGGGGGGGAGUCCUACUCCCACCGGGAGUAGGACUCCUCCUUUCCUUGUGGGAGUAGGAGAAGGGAAGGGGGAAGGAGAAAGAAGGAAGGGUGCGCCCCCCUUCCCUAGUCCAAUUCGGACCAGACCAUGGGGAGGGGUGCGGCCACCUUUUGAGGCCUUUCUCUCCUUUCCCGUAUGGCCCAUUAAGGCCCAAUACGAAUUCUCGUAACUCUCCGGUACUCCGAAAAAUACCCGAAUCACUCGGAACCUUUCCGAAGUCCGAAUAUAGUCGUCCAAUAUAUCGAUCUUUACGUCUCGACCAUUUCGAGACUCCUCGUCAUAUCCCCGAUCUCAUCCGGGACUCCGAACUCCUUCGGUACAUCAAAACUCAAUAAAACUGUCAUCGUAACGUUAAGCGUGCGGACCCUACGGGUUCGAGAACUAUGUAGACAUGACCGAGACACCUCUCCGGUCAAUAACCAAUAGCGGGACCUGGAUGCCCAUAUUGGCUCCCACAUAUUCUACGAAGAUCUUUAUCGGUCAGACCGCAUAACAACAUACGUUGUUUCCUUUGUCAUCGGUAUGUUACUUGCCCGAGAUUCGAUCGUCGGUAUCUCGAUACCUAGUUCAAUCUCGUUACCGGCAAGUCUCUUUACUCGUUCCGUAAUACAUCAUCCCGCAACUAACUCAUUAGUCACAAUGCUUGCAAGGCUUAUAGUGAUGUGCAUUACCGAGUGGGCCCAGAGAUACCUCUCCGACAAUCGGAGUGACAAAUCCUAAUCUCGAAAUACGCCAACCCAACAAGUACCUUCGGAGACACCUGUAGAGCACCUUUAUAAUCACCCAUUUACGUUGUGACGUUUGGUAGCACACAAAGUGUUCCUCCGGUAAACGGGAGUUGCAUAAUCUCAUAGUCAGAGGAACAUGUAUAAGUCAUGAAGAAAGCAAUAGCAACAUACUAAACGAUCGGGUGCUAAGCUAACGGAAUGGGUCAAGUCAAUCACGUCAUUCUCCUAAUGAGGUGAUCUCGUUAAUCAAAUGACAACUUAUGUCUAUGGCUAGGAAACAUAACCAUCUUUGAUUAACGAGCUAGUCAAGUAGAGGCAUAGUAGUGACACUCUGUUUGUCUAUGUAUUCACACAUGUAUUAUGUUUCCGGUUAAUACAAUUCUAGCAUGAAUAAUAAACAUUUAUCAUGAUAUAAGGAAAUAAAUAAUAACUUUAUUAUUGCCUCUAGGGCAUAUUUCCUUCACAUAUAUAGGCGAAAGAAGUCGGUCAGGGGAGCCACGAGGGGCCCACAAGGGUGGGAGGCGCGCCCAGGGGGGCAGGCACGCCUCCCUGCCUCGUGGCCACCUCGAAGCUUCCCUGACGUCUACUCCAAGUCUCCUGGAUUGCUUCCGUUCCAAAAAUAACUCUCCCGAAGGUUUCAUUCCGUUUGGACUCUGUUUGAUAUUCCUUUUCUUCGAAACACUGAAAUAGGCAAGAAAACAGAAACUGGCACUGGGCUCUGGGUUAAUAGGUUAGUCCCAAAAAUCAUAUAAAAGUGUUAAGUAAAGCCCAUAAACAUCCAAAACAGAUAAUAUAAUAGCAUGAAUACUUCAUAAAUUAUAUAUACGUUGGAGACGUAUCAGCAUCCCCAAGCUUAAUUCCUGCUCGUCCUCGAGUAGGUAAAUGAUAAAAGAAAUAAUUUAUGAAGUGUGAAUGCUAGAAGGUGCACAAGUUUGAUCAAUGAUAAUUUCAAUCACCUUUUCUAGCAUCAUUAUAUGUCAUAACAGUAGCCCAUCUCAUAAAACUUCUCAUGAUCAAGUAACAAGCUAUUCAUAUGUUAAAGCAUAGACCAUAAACUUUCUUUAAAACUAACAAACAGUGCUCUUAGUCAUCAAACAAUUGCAAUUCAUCUUAUUUUCAGGAAGGGUCUAUGUCAGAGCUUUGAUUUAGCAAACUCCACAUACUCAACUAUCAUAUAGUCUUCCAUGAUUGCUACCACUCAAAGCAUAUUUUUAGAACAAAUAGCAUCCAUCGAACACAGAGAAAGAUAGGGGCUUAAUGUUUCGCCUCCCAACUUAUUUAUCAUAUAGAUAAUUGUCAACAAUAAUAAUUCAUGAUCAAAUAUAUUUGAAUGGCCAUAUAUGCUUAGAUCUUCCAUCACAUGAUGCUUGCCAACUAAAGAGUAGGUUGGAAUGAGAAGGAAUACUACUGACUCUUGCAUAAAAGUAAAAGAUAGGCCCUUCGCAGAGGGAAGCAGGGAUUUGCAGAGGUGCCAGAGCUUGAAGCUUUUAAAACAGAGAUGAAAAUAAUUUUGAGAGGUAUGCUUUCAUUGUCAACAUAACAACCAAGAGUUCCCAAUAUCUUCCAUUCUACAUACAUUAUAGGCGGUUCCCAAACAGAAGGGUAAAGAUUUUACUCCCCCUCCACCAACAAUCACACUCCAUGGCUUGUCCGAAACAACGGGUGCCAUCCAACUUAUCAACCAUCCUAGGGGAGUUUUGUUUAAAUUAUUUGCGAUUUUGUUUUUGAUCUUUUGAUCAUAGGACUGGGCAUCCCAGUUACCAGCCAUUUUCUCGUGAAUGAUGAGCGGAGUCCACUCAUCGUGAGAAUAACCCACCUAGCAUGGAAGAUACUGACAGCCCCUGGUCGCUACAUGAGCAAUUCGGGCAUACAAAAUAGAUUAUUAUUUGAAGGUUUAGAGUUUGGUACAUGCAAAUUUACUUGGAACAGCAGGUAAAUACCGCAUAUAGGUAGAUAUGGUGGACACUCACGGAAGAAACUUGGUUCAAGGAUUUUGGAUACACAAGCAGUAUUCCCGCUUAGUACAGAAAUUUAGGCUAGCAAAAGAUUCUAAAUAGCAAGCACCACAUGUUGAAGGAUCAAUAACAAUAUAACUUCUAUACAAAUAUACCCAAGCAUAACUCAUUAUGUUGUCUUCCUUGUCCAAAUUCAACUAUUUGCUCAAGUUUGAAAAUAAUUAAUGGGGCUCACAAUCAUAGAAGAUGUCCAAGAUAGUAUAUUUAUAUGUGAGAUCUCUCUUCCUUCAUUAUUCUUUCAUGAAUUGUUCAAGUGACCAAUACAAAGUUUGCUAACCUUCAAAAAAAUUACCACCUCUACUUCUUAUAUGUGAAGUCAUUAUUCCCCAUGGGAUAAGCAUAUGAAACAUAUAUAAUUUCAGAUUUAUGAUAUUCAAAUCAUUCAACCAUUUACUCAUAGGAUAUAAGUGAAGCACACGAGUAAAUGACAAACUACUCCAAAAAGAUAUAAGUGAAGAUCAAUGAGUAGCUAAAUAAUUAUGUAGCUAUGUGAAGACUCUCUCUCAUUUAAGAAUUUCAGAUCUUGUGAUAUUAUUCAAACAGCAAGCAAAACAAAAUAAAAUGACAUUUCAAGGAUAGCACUCAUCAUGUGAAGAAGCAAAAACUUAGGCUCAACCGAUACUAACCGAUAAUUGUUGAAGAAGAAAGGUGGGAUGCCUACCGGGGCAUCCCCAAGCUUAGAUGCUUGAGACUUCUUGAAAUAUUAUCUUGGGAUGCCUUGGGCAUCCCCAAGCUUGAGCUUUUGUGUCUCCUUAAUUCCUUUCAUAUCAUGGUUUCCUAAAUCUCGAAAGCUUCAUCCACACCAAACUCAACAAGAACUCGUGAGAUAAGUUAGUAUAAACCAAUGCAAAAACCUUAUCAUUCUCUACUGUAGCAAAUCACAAAAAUUAUUAUUCAACAUUGCAUACUAAAUGUCUCUGCAUAUUUAAUACUCCUAUCCUCAAAUAGAAUCAUUAAACAAGCAAACAUAUGCAAACAAUGCAAACAUAACAGCAAUCUACCAAAACGGUACAGUCUGUAAAGAAUGCAAGAGUAUCAAUACUUACCUAACUCGAAACAUUAAGAAAUUCUACCACACUGUAGAAAAUUUAUCAGAGCUUAUUAUGCAAAAAGUUUCAGCAUUUUAUCAUUUUCUAACUUUUCUAAGGAAUUUUUGCAACAGCGGUAAACUUUCUGUUUUGAAACAGCAACAUGUAUACUUGCAAGAUAAGCAUGGUAAAAGCUAUCCUUGACAUUUUUAUUGAAAAUAAAGAUGCAAAACAUUAUUCUAAAUAACAACAAGCAAAUACUAACAAAAUAAAAUGACGCUCCAAGCAAAACACAUAUCAUGUGGUGAAUAAAAAUAUAGCUCCAAGUAAAGUUACCGAUGAACGAAGACGAAAGAGGGGAUGCCAUCCGGGGCAUCCCCAAGCUUAGGCUCUUGGUUGUCCUUGAAUAUUGGUACAUACCCUCAGCCCCGAGGGUGAACUACUCCCUCCUCGUCAUGGAGAGCGUCGGGAUGAUGAAGAUGGCCACCGGAGAGGGAUCCCCCCCUCCGGCAGGAUGCCGGAACGGGUCUAGAUUGGUUUUCGGUGGCUCUGGAGGUUUGCGGCGGCAGAACUCCCGAUCUAUUGUGUUCCCCGAUGUUUUUAGGGUAUAUGGACAUAUAUAGGCGAAAGAAGUCGGUCAGGGAAGCCACGAGGGGCCCACGAGGGUGGGAGGCGCGCCCAGGGGGCAGGCGCGGCUCUGCCUCGUGGCCACCUCGAAGCUUACCUGACAUCUACUCCAGGUCUCCUGGAUUGCUUCCGUUCCAAAAAUAACUCUCCCGAAGGUUUCAUUCUGUUUGGACUCCGUUUGAUAUUCCUUUUCUUCGAAACACUGAAAUAGGAAAGAAAACAGAAACUGGCACUGGGCUCUGGGUUAAUAGGUUAGUCCCAAAAAUCAUAUAAAAGUGUUAAGUAAAGCCCAUAAACAUCCAAAACAGAUAAUAUAAUAGCAUGAAUACUUCAUAAAUUAUAGAUACGUUGGAGACGUAUCACAUACUCAGGGAGAACACUUAUACCUUGAAUUUAGUUAAGGGAUCAUCUUAUAAUGCUACCGCUGUACUAAGCAAAAUAAGAUGCAUAAAAGAUAAACAUCACAUGCAAUCAAAAUAUGUGACAUGAUAUGGCCAUCAUCAUCUUGUGCUUUUGAUCUCCAUCUCCAAAGCAUCGUCAUGAUCUCCAUCAUCACCGGCUCGACACCUUGAUCUCCAUCGUAGCGUCGUGGUCGUCUUGCCAACUAUUGCUUCUACAACUAUCGCUAACGCGUAGUGAUAAAGUAAAGCAAUUACAUGGCGUUUGCAUUUCAUACAAUAAAGUGACAACCAUAAGGCUCCUUCCAGUUGCCGAUAACUUUUACAAAACAUGAUCAUCUCAUACAACAACGUAUAUCACAUCAUGUCUUGACCAUAUCACAUCACAACAUGCCCUGCAAAAACAAGUUAGACGUCCUCUACUUUGUUGUUGCAAGUUUCACGUGGCUGCUAUGGACUUCUAGCGAGAACCGUUCUUACCUACGCAUUGAUAUGUCUCCAAAAUAUCUAUAACUUUUUAUUGUUCCAUGCUAUAUUAUAUUCUGUUUUGGAUGUUUAUUGGGCUUUAUUAUACACUUUUAUAUUAUUUUUGGGACUAACCUAUUAACCGGAGGCCCAGCCCAAAUUGUUGUUUUUUACCUAUUUCAGUGUUUCGCAGAAAAAGAAUAUCAAACUUUGCGCGCACGAGAUUAGUUUUCAUAAAUCACAGGAACGUGAUUUUCAGUUGAUUAUUCUUGCAUUAGAUCAAUAAACAAAUUAUCCAGAACUUCCUAAUUUGGUGGAAUUUUUUGCGUUCCAUAAGUUUGCGUUAGUUACAGAUUACUACAGACUGUUCUGUUUUUUGACAGAUUCUGUUUUUCGUGUGUUGUUUGCUUAUUUUGAUGAAUCUAUGGCUAGUAAAAUAGUUUAUAAACCAUAGGGAAGUUGGAAUACAGUAAGUUUAACACCAAUAUAAAUAAAGAAAGAGUUCAAUAUAGUACCUUGAAGUGGUGUUUUGUUUUCCUUCGCUAACGGAGCUCAUGAGAUUUUCUGUUAAGUUUUGUGUUGUGAAGUUUUCAAGUUUUGGGUAAAGAUUUGAUGGAUUAUGGAACAAGGAGUGGCAAGAGCCUAAGAUUGGGGAUGCCCAUGGCACCCCAAGAUAAUCUAAGGACACCAAAAGGCCAAAGCUUGGGGAUGCCCCGGAAGGCAUCCCCUCUUUCGUCUUCGUCCAUCGGUAACUUUACUUGGAGCUAUAUUUUUAUUCACCACAUGAUAUGUGUUUUGCUUGGAGCGCCUUGUAUGAUUUGAGCCUUUGCUUUUUAGUUUACCACAAUCAUCCUUGCUUUACACACCUUUUGAGAGAGACACACAUGAUUCGGAAUUUAUUAGAAUACUCUAUGUGCUUCACUUAUAUCUUUUGAGCUAUAUAGUUUUUGCUCUAGUGCUUCACUUAUAUCUUUUAGAGCACGGUGGUGGAUUUGUUUUAUAGAAACUAUUGUUCUCUCAUGCUUCAUUUAUAUCAUUUUGAGAGUCCUACAGAACAGCAUGGUAAUUUUCUUUAAUCGUGAAAUUAAUCCUAAUAUGCAAGGUAUUCAACAUUAGUAAAAAUCUCUCUUAUGAGUGCAUUGAAUACUAAGAAAAGUUUGAUGCUUGAUGAUUGUUUUGAGAUAUGGAGGUAGUAAUAUUAAAGUUGUGCUAGUUGAGUACUUGUGAAAUUGAGAAAUACUUGUGUUGAAGUUUGCAAAUCCCGUAGCAUGCACGUAUGGUAAACGUUGUGUAACAAAUUUGAAACAUGAGGUGUUCUUUGAGUGUCAUCCCUUGUGUGGAGGACGGGGGCGCGCGAUGGUUAACUCCUACCAACCUCCCCCCUAGGAGCAUGCGUGUAAUGCUUGGUUUUGAUGACUUGUAGAUUUUUGCAAUAAGUAUGUGAGUUCUUUAUGACUAAUGUUGAGUCCAUGGAUUAUACGCACUCUCACCCUUCCAUCAUUGCUAGCCUCUUCGGUACCGUGCAUUGCCUUUUCUCACCUUGAGAGUUUGUGCAAACUUCGCCGGUUCAUCCAAACCCCGUGAUAUGAUACGCUCUAUCACACAUAAACCUCCUUAUAUCUUCCUCAAAACAGCCACCAUAUCUACCUAUUAUGGCAUUUCCAUAGCCAUUCCGAGAUAUAUUGCCAUGCAACUUUCCACCGUUCCGUUUAUCAUGACACGUUUCAUCAUUAUCAUAUUGCCUUGCAUGAUCAUGUAGUUGACAUCGUAUUCGUGGCAAAGCCACCAUGCAUAUUAUUUCAUACAUGUCACUCUUGAAUCAUUGCCCAUCCUGGUACACCGCCGGAGGCAUGCAUAUAGAGUCAUACUUUGUUCUAGUAUCGAGUUGUAAUCAUUGAGUUGUAAAUGAAUAGAAGUGUGAUGAUCAUCAUUCAUAGAGCAUUGUCCCUAAAAAGGCCAAAAGAAAAAAAAGUAAGGCCCAAAAAAAGAAAAAAAAAGAAAUAAUAAAAAUAAAAAGGGGGUAAUGCUACUAUCCUUUUCCAUACUUGUGCUUCAAAGUAGCACCAUGUUCUUCAUGAUAGAGAGUCUCUUGCUUUGUCACUUUCAUAUACUAGUGGGAAUUUUUCGUUAUAGAACUUGGCUUGUAUAUUCCUACAAUGGGCUUCCUCAAAUGCCCUAGGUCUUCAUGAGCAAGCAAGUUGGAUGCACACCCACUUAGUUGCAUUUUGUUGAGCAUUCAUACAUUUAUAGCUCUAGUGCAUCCGUUGCAUGGCAAUCCCUACUCCUCACAUUAACAUCAAUUUAUGGGCAUCUCCAUAGCCCGUUGAUUAGCCGCGUUGAUGUGGGACUAUCUUCUCCUUUUUGUCUUCUCCACAUAACCCCCAUCAUUAUUCUAUUCCACCCAUAGUGCUACGUUCAUGGCUCACGCUCAUGUAUUGCGUGAAAAUUGAAAGAGUUUGAAAAUUCUUAAGUAUGAAACAAUUGCUUGGCUGAAACCGGGGUUGUGCAUGAUUUUAGUAUUUUGUGUGAUGAAGAUGGAGCAUAACCAAACUAUAUGAUUUUGUAGGGAUGAACUUUCUUUGGCCAUGUUAUUUUGAGAAGACAUAAUUGCUUAGUUAGUAUGCUUGAAGUAUUAUUACUUUUAUGUCAAUAUUAAACCAUUAUCUUGAAUCUUUCGGAUCUGAAUAUUCAUACCACAAUUAAGAGGGUUACAUUAAAAGCCAUGCUAAGUAGCAUUCCACAUCAAAAAUUCUGUUUUUAUCAUUUACCUACUCGAGGACGAGCAGGAAUUAAGCUUGCGGAUGCUUGAUACGUCUCCAACGUAUCUAUAAUUUUUUAUUGUUCCAUGCUAUAUUAUAUUCUGUUUUGGAUGUUUAUUGGGCUUUAUUAUACACUUUUAUAUUAUUUUUGGGAUUAACCUAUUAACCGGAGGCCCAGCCCAAAUUGUUGUUUUUUGCCUAUUUCAGUGUUUCGCAGAAAAACAAUAUCAAACGGAGUGAAACCUUCGGGAACGUGAUUUUCGGAACAAACGUGAUCCAGAGGACUUGGAGUCUACGUAAAGCAAUCAACGAGGAAGGCACGAGGUAGGGGGGCGCGCCUACCCCCUGGGCGUGCCCUCCACCCUCGUGGGGCCCACGUUGCUCCACCGACGUACUUGUUCCUCCUAUAUAUACCCAUAUACCCUGAAAACAUCAGAGGAGGAGCCAAAACCCUAUUUCCACCGCCGCAACCUUCUGUACCCGUGAGAUCCCAUCUUGGGGCCUUUUCCGGCGCUCCGCCGGAGGGGGCAUUGAUCACGGAGGGCUUCUACAUCAACACCAUAGCCUCUCCGAUGAUGUGUGAGUAGUUUACCUCAGACCUUCGGGUCCAUAGUUAUUAGCUAGAUGGCUUCUUUUCUCUCUUUGGAUCUCAAUACAAAGUUCUCCUUGUUUCUCUUGGAGAUCUAUUCGAUGUAAUCUUCUUUUGCAGUAUGUUUGUCGAGAUCCGAUGAAUUGUGGGUUUAUGAUCAAGUUUAUCUAUGAACAAUAUUUGAAUCUCCUAUGAAUUCUGUUAUGUAUGUCGUGGAAUUGUCACGGCAGAUGUCCUUGAGCUAGGACUUAGUCGUGGAGCCAUCGCAACUAGGAAGCUUGAAGGGGUUAAUGCGGGACAAGGAACACGAGGGUUUGUACUGGUUCGGCCCCUUACGGUGAAGGUAAAAGCCUACGUCCAGUUUGAGGUGGUAUUGAUUAGGGUUACGAUCACCAGGGAGCUAAACUGCUAUGCCCGGCUUUCGAUGAGAUUGUUCUCCUCUCUCAACCGCUGCCGGGUCGUCCCUUUAUAUAGGGAGGCUGACGCCCAGCAGCCCUCAGAGUCCCGGCCGGCUCAUAAGAGUGUCCAGCUCGGACUCUCAAUCAUACUUGCCUUAUACUACAAGUUCUACCAUAGUAAUGAUUGUAACUACGGGCCCUCAGCCACAUCCGGGUCUUAAGCCCAUCUCUGGCCCAUCGUCUUCAAGCUUGGUUCCGGGCUUCUGGCAACGACCAUAUGAGUAACCCGGCCCCUCUUGGCGGGUGACUCUAAGGUCUAUAUCCUCAACAUUAGGCCCCAGAUUGAUUUGAGCCGGCUCAUGUCAAUCUUCAAUCCUUCCGACAGAAAAAAUCUCCGGCUUACCAUUCGUGUGAAGGCCAUAACCCGGCGUGACGUCAUCCUCUGGACUCCGGAUAAUCCGCCGUGACGUCAUCGUCCAUUACGCCCGUUUUUUACUCCGCCAGAUCCGCAACGGAUCUUUUCCUUUACUGUCAUCCCGAAAAUCGAGGCGUUGUGAGGGGAGAUAACCACGCCACGAUCUCCUUGAUUCUCGUGCCCGCUUUAUGAGCUCGCCUUAUAAAUAGGCCGGCCCGACGGGCUUCUCUACCACCCUUCUUUCUCCUCGCGCCACUGCCUCUCUGCCUGAGCUCGCACUCCGCCGCCGUCGUCUCGCCUCCGGUCUUCGUCCACCUUGGCCGUUGCAUCACCCUGACUCGGACCAGACAAACGGCGGCGACCCCCGCACCUUUUCAGCUCCGGUAAGUCCUGCUUGACCUGUAGAGUAGAUCUGCCGUAGGAUUUGCCCACGUUCUUCGUGUUCGUCGCCAUUGUCCGCAAGCUUCGGUAGUUCUCAUAGUUACUGCCCUUGUUUGAUCUUAGAUUUGCAUAGAAUCAGUGCGGCGGCUGUUUGGCACUUAUUUCAAAUGCCAGUAGGUCUCUUUCCACUGCAUAACGGCUUCAUUCGAGCUCAAGAACAUCCUCUCGUAUGUUUCUAGGUCUAGAAAUUUUUCAUUUCACCCGACCAUUUUGAUCCAAAAAAAGUUACUGCAAUAUGUGAAACCUAUUUUACCACACUUAGUAAAAACUGCAACCAUUGAAUCUUGGCGGCUUACAAUUCCGGUUUAAAGAAACCACGCGCCGUAGAAUCCUCCGGCUUAAAGAAAACCAUGCUUCGUAGAACCUCCGGCUUAACUGUGAUAAGGCCGUAGAUAAUCAACUUAUUCUGAAUGCCCCUGCGGCUUAAAUAACCCGCUGUACUUAGGUAUAUACCAUUAGUCCCCUUCAUAAGCCGCCACCUUAGCUUUGAACUAUAGAUCUCCUCCGGCUUAUAAUUAACCCAGAUGUUUUUUCCUUUUUGUCAUAGACUGCCGACUUUCACCAUGCCUCCCAAAGCUCCCAUUACUUGCAACUGGAUGAGGUCCAAUGUGACCAACGAGACCCUAGCUGAUUUCGUUAAGUCAGGGUAUCUGCCCAAGAAAGACAUCAUGUCCUACCGUGCCCCUGACCCGGCAGAAGAGAGGCCACAGCCAAAGGAUGGGGAGGUAGUGAUUUUUGCUGAUCACAUGAGCCGGGGCUUCGCACCGCCCGGCUCAAAGUUUUUUAGGGACGUGCUCAACUUCUUUGACUUGCGGCCUCAAGACAUAGGACCCAACUCAGUGUCCAACAUCUGCAAUUUCCAAGUCUUCUGCGAGGUUUACCUUGGAGAAGAACCUAGUCUGCUGCUCUUCAGAGAGCUUUUUUAUUUGAACCGUCAGAAUGAAUGCGCCAAUGGGCCAAGUCUGGAGUUAGGUGGUAUCUCCAUCCAGCGGCGUAGGGACUGCCUUUUCCCUUACGCAGAGCCGCCGAGCCACCCAAAGGACUGGAACAUGACUUGGUUCUACUGCCAAGAUACGUCCCCGGCUGAUGAAAGCCCGCUGCCCGGCUUUCGCCCAACACGCCUGGAGCCGACUCACCCACUGUCAGACAAGCUGUCUCAAGCAGAGCGCCAGCCCCUGCUCCCUACUAUCAACAAGAUCAAAGCUCUCCUGGGCAAUGGUCUGAACAGAAUCGACCUGGUCCGGGUCUGGAUCUCAUGGCAGGUGAUCCCAUUGAGCCGCCGCCCCGGCUUAAUGUGCGAGUACACAGGACGAAAGGAUGACCCUCAGAGACACAGCCGCAAUGAUCUUCCAAAAGACGUUGCAGAGGAGAUGACCAAGGCUCUUUUAAACGAGAGCCUGGCAGACUGCGAAAGGACCGGGUUAGCCCCCUUCUGCAAGACCAACCCAGCCCCAGCGGUAAGCCGCUGACUUUAACUUUUUAUCUUCUUCUGCAUAUAACCUUCAUCUGAACCGUUUUAAGAAUUCAUCAUUGUAUUUUUCAGGCUGAUGAUAAGUUCUGGCGGGUCAAAUAUGACCAUGAGGCGGCCAAGAAGGCCAGGAAGGCGAAGAAAGCCGCCAAGAAAGCCGCCCCUCGCAAAAAAGGAAGCAGGCCUACUGCUUCGGAGCUGAUGCAAUUAAGCGACAGCUCCGAGUCAGAGGUAACCCCUAAGCCUUUAAGUUCUUGCUAUAUUUGUUGUUUGUUGCUGUCCGCCUUAUCAACACUUGCUCAUUGACAGGAUGACACCGGCGCCAGUAACCCGGUGGUUGAAGAGGUAAUGUCACUUUCCUCCGACUCGGAGCCCUUGCCACAGCUGAAAAUCCGAAGGGUAACCCGGAAAGUAAGCUUUUCACAUCCUUUAGCUUAUCAAGACCCUCAAUUUAUUUUGAAGCGACAGGUUCAUGAAAGCCGGCGUCACACCCGGACCAACAAGGACACCGACCUCUUCGCCGGGUUACCCGACGCAACAAGGAAGCGCCGAACUGAGGUUUUUUCCCACUUGUACCCUUUUCAUCCGUUGGCGGGUGUUAUCCGUCAGCCACUCAAUUCUUCUGACUCCAAUUAUCAGGAGACCUCCCCUUCUUCGGGAGACUCUAUGCAGUCGAGUCUUCCGACUUUCAAGACCGCGCCCGGGUAAUGACAACCAUCUCAUAUUAUACUUGUCUGUACUUACUUUCUUUGUGCUAAAUGUUUCUGUCCUUUCAGUGCCCAGGCAAAGCUCACCAAGAGAGCGAAGAAGACCAAGUCAGCCGGAGUGCCGGAUUUACCUGAACCGGAGGUGACGGCUCAAGAACCGCCAGCUGCCUCCGCCCCCGAAGCCACCACUCCAAUGGACACGGCACCUGAGGCCACUGCCCCGACUACCAAGGCAACGACCGAAGCUUCUGUUAACCCGGAGGCCUCCAGCUCGGCUCCACCAGCAGACGACCCGGACGUGGUAAUCACCCGGACAUAGUUCGUUGAGCCGGGGAGACCUACCGUGCUGGCCAAGUGCUCCGCUAAGGGGGAGCUGCUGCAGCCCCACCGGGUGAACCUGGACCUCUCCGACUACACCAACCUGAGCAUUGGAGAGCUCGUCUCUGGCUACAUCAGUCAAGUGCACAAGAGCCGGGACGCAGAGGUCGCCAUGGUGAACCAAAUCCAGCAAAAAUCUGAGGUAUCAUUCUGCUGUCCUCUUACUUACUGCAUAGUUACCUUUGCCAUGAUAGCCCCCAAGUCGACGACUUAUGAUUGAAUAUGUUGUAGACUUAGGUUCCGGCUUACUCAAUUGAGCCGGCAGUAUGUAGAUAGAUACAUUCAAUAUGCAUUAGCCCCCAAGUGCCAAGUGUCUUUGCUUGGAAAACGCUUGGGACUUGUAUAAUGACUGUGAAUAACCCGGAAAUGUACGCAGGCUGUUGGCAAGAAGCUAGAGGCGGACCUUGCGGAUCUCAAGAGCCGGCUGAAGACGCAGGAGAUGGAGACCCGGAAGGCAAACGCCAAGUUUGUAUCCAGCAUCGCCGCUCAAGAGAAGCUGAAGACAGAAUUUGAUGCUGAGCGGAAAGCCUGGGCCGAAGAGAAGGCCGCACUGGUGACCCAGGCGGAACAGGCGGAGAAGGCUCUCUCCGAAAAGACCGCCGAGCUCUCCAGCCUAAAGCGCCAGGUUUCCCAAAUGGUGGCCGCCAUCUUCGGUAAGUCGCCUCACCGGCUUUCAUCAAGUUUAGAAUGUUUAUAUCUCAUGAUUCAUCCUUGUCGCCGACUUAUCUGAUUCUGUUAAACAGGUCCCAGAAGUGCGAACCUCAACCAGAGUGUGGUCACCAAGCUAAAGGCCGUGUAUACCCUGGUGGAACAGCUCUACACCGGGUCACAGCGUGCCUUAGCUGUGGUGGCCCUAUCCAACGAGGUGCCGACUCACCUGGCAGAAGUCCUGCGCCGGCUCGCCGUUCUGCCUCAGCGGAUCCAAGAGCUGCGACGGGCCUCUGCGAGAGCCAGAGCGAUCGCCGCGCUGAGCCGGGCCAAGGCAUUCCUGUCGGAGUUAGACCCGGCGAACAUCGCCCUUGGCUACCCCAGCCUGAAGGAAGACGGCUCGGCUUUCGAUCAGAAGGAUUUCGCAGCUUGCGUGAAGGCGGUACGCCCGGUGGCCACCCUUAUCGGGAACGACACAGACCUGACCAAGUACCAGCCGGGUUAUGAUGCGGAGAAUCAGAGGAUUCCAACCCCUCGCUAUGAAGCCCUCAACUUGAUCCCGCCGGCUCGUCAGCACACCUUCGCCCCGGAGAUUGACCCGGCCGGGUUAAUUGACGAGGAAGCCCAAUUCGAAGCGCUCAGCGGCAUCGACUGGAAGUCAUCAACCUUCCAGGUCUUGGGCUCAGCUGGAGGAGAGGAUAGGAAUGAGCCGGAGACUUCAACUCAGCGGGCAUCAUAACUCGGCUGGCGGUUUACCAAACAAUGUUCCACCCUUUUUAGACUUGAUGAGUUUUGUAACAGAGUAGGUGCAACAGUUCAUCUUUGCCGUGCCAUCGUGCACGUAUUGAAUGCGAAAGUCUUUUGAAGUUGUCCCUUUGAUAUUUCUCCGGGUCAUGAUCAAUCCUUUGUUUUUCUUAACCUCAAAGAGGUGCCUUUAAUUAUCCUGCAUAGAAAGGCAAAUCACAAGUCUUGGGGCGUCUUACCGUCCUGAGAAUCAUAAAUUUUAGAUGACCCGGAAUAUGAAGCGAAAAGGACUUGCAUUCAAUAGUAUCCUGAACACAGCCGUAAGAACAUGCUGAACGGCCUACAAGUAUACCUCCGGCUUAGAUAAUCCGGAUGAGAAAGUUGGUACCGCAACUCCGGUUUACCUGCCUUAUAACACCCAUUGCGUUCAACAAUACUGUAAACCAAGGUUAAGCCGGAAAAGUGAGACCCGGCUGUACACACCUUGACAUAAUCAAAGAAAACUUGUGAUAAAGCAGAAGAACUUAGGGGCUUCCGGUUCGAAUACGACCAGAGACUCGGCCCAAAGGGGUUAAGCUAAGAUUCGGAUACGAUCAUAUAGCCCCCAGUGGGUGUGGCGAUGCCAAUCAAGAGGGUACCGACAGCUAUGUUCUCUUUGGUUCGAAUACGACCCAUGUUUGAACAGGAAGCCCCCAAGUGAUUUUAAGAAUUGUUUAACGACGUUGAUUCGAAUAUGAUCCACGUCGGUUCUCAGAGGGGUUAAACUAUGAUUCAAAUAUGACCAAAGGUAACCUCCCAAUGAGCUCGGCACUUUGCCAAUCAAAUGGGUAUCGACAGCUAUGUUCUCUUUGGUUCGAAUACGACCCAUAUUUGAACAGGAAGCCCCCAAGUGACUUUACUGCUUACGGCUAGAUUCGAAUACGAUCAUAAGCCGGGUCCUCCUUUAAGUCAUCAUGUAAUCUUGUAAUAAAAACAACACGUGCAUAUUUGGAGGAGAAAGAAGGACAGAGGUCCUGCUUUAUUGCUUAUCAUAAUAUAUACAUGGCUGAGAGAAAUAUGUACACCACGAGAGCUGGUGGCUCAAGUGUAGUAAGGCCGAAGCUAAGCUAUGUUCCACGGCCGACGGGUCUCUUCCUCCGAUUUACGUGAAUCUUUGUGCUCCCGAAUGUCAAUGAGGUAAUAUGACCCGUUGUGCAAGUUCUUGCUGACCACAAAGGGCCCUUCCCAAGGUGGGGAUAACUUGUGUGCAUCUAUUUGAUCCAGGAUGAGCCGGAGCACAAGGUCGCCUUCCUGGAAGACCCGGGAUUUGACCCGGCGGCUAUGAUAACGGCGCAGGUCUUGUUGGUAAAUCGCUGAACGGGCUGCUACCACAUCACGCUGUUCGUCCAACAAGUCAAGAGCAUCUUGGCGCGCCUGUUCAUUAUCCGUCUCAACAUAAGCCGCCACGCGAGGUGAGUCGUGACGGAUGUCACUGGGGAGGACUGCUUCUGCUCCAUAAACCAUGAAGAAAGGCGUGAAGCCUGUAGACCUGUUAGGAGUAGUGUUGAUGCUCCAUAAGACGGAGGGCAACUCCUCCACCCAACAACCCGGCGUCCGUUGCAGAGGGACCAAAAGCCGGGGCUUGAUGCCCUUCAGAAUCUCCUGAUUAGCUCUCUCAGCUUGACCAUUGGAUUGAGGAUGAGCCACCGAGGAAACAUCAAGUCGGAUAUGCUCUCGUUGACAAAACUCUUCCAUGGCGCCUUUGGAGAGAUUGGUGCCAUUGUCAGUUAUAAUGCUGUGUGGAAAACCAAAGCGAAAGAUCACCCUUUUCAUAAACUGAACUGCCGUGGCUGCAUCACACUUGCUAACUGGCUCCGCUUCAACCCACUUGGUGAAUUUGUCAACUGCCACCAAGAGGUGGGUCUUCUUAUCCUUGGACCUUUUAAAAGGCCCAACCAUAUCAAGCCCCCAGACCGCAAAGGGCCAAGUGAUUGGGAUCAUCCUCAGCUCCUGAGCUGGCACAUGAGCCCGUCGUGAGAACCUCUGGCAACCAUCACAUUUACUGACCAAGUCCUCUGCAUCAGCAUGAGCCGUCAACCAAUAAAAACCAUGACGAAAAGCCUUGGCCACAAGGGACUUUGAGCCGGCGUGAUGGCCACAAUCCCCUUCAUGGAUCUCACGCAAGAUCUCUUGACCUUCCUCAGGGGAGACACAACGCUGAAAUGCUCCUGUAACACUGCGAUGAUGCAACUCGCCAUCGAUAACGAUCAUUGACUUAGCCCGCCGGGUUAUUUGCCUGGCCAAAGCUUCAUCCUCAGGCAACUCGCCCCUGGUCAUAUAAGCCAGAUAUGGCAUUGUCCAGUCUGGUAUGACAUGAAGAGCCGCCGCCAGUCGUGCCUCCGGGUCAGGGACAGCCAAGUCUUCCUCUGUAGGCAACUUAACCGAAGGGUUAUAAAGGACGUCCAGGAAAGUGUUAGGCGGCACCGGCUUUCUCUGAGAGCCUAGCCGGCUUAGAGCAUCAGCCGCCUCGUUCUUCCUGCAAUCAAUGUGCUCUACUUGGUAGCCCUGAAAGUGCCCAGCAAUGGCAUCAACCUCACGGCGAUAAGCCGCCAUGAGAGGAUCCUUAGAGUCCCACUUGCCUGAUACUUGUUGAGCCACCAAGUCUGAGUCACCAAAGCACCUUACCUGGCUCAAGCUCAUCUCCUUAGCCAUCCGAAGACCGUGGAGCAAGGCCUCGUACUCAGCCGCAUUGUUAGUGCAAGGAAACAUCAACUGUAGCACAUAAUGGAACUUGUCACCUUUAGGGGAAGCCAAUACAACACCAGCCCCCGAGCCCUCCAACUGCCUGGACCCAUCGAAGUGAAUAGUCCAAUACGUGUUAUCCGGCUUUUGCUCGGGCACUUGUGACUCUGUCCAAUCAUUAAUGAAAUCCACCAAGGCCUGAGAUUUAACAGCAGUGCGUGGCACAUAUUUGAGCCCAUGAGGUCCAAGUUCUAUAGCCCACUUAGCAAUUCUCCCUGUAGCCUCUCUGUUUUGAAUGAUAUCACCAAGAGGGGCAGAACUGACCACAGUGAUGGGAUGACCCUGAAAAUAAUGCUUAAGUUUUCGGCUCGCCAUGAACACACCAUAUACCAGCUUCUGCCAAUGCGGGUACCGCUGCUUGGACUCAAUGAGCACUUCGCUGACAUAAUAAACUGGCCGCUGAACCGGAUGCUCCUUACCCUCCUCCUUGUGCUCCACCACAAUAGCCACACUGACAGCUCGUGCGUUGGCCGCCACAUACAGUAGUAAGGGCUCCUUAUCAACCGGAGCAGCAAGGACUGGGGGCUCUGCCAGCUGCUUCUUCAAACCCUCAAAGGCGGUAUUAGCUGCAUCAUUCCAGACAAAGUUAUCAGUUUUCUUCAUCAACUGAUAUAAGGGCAUGGCCUUCUCACCCAAAUGGCUUAUAAACCGGCUUAAAGCAGCGAUGCGCCCGCCAAGCGCUGAACCUCAUUUAUACACGCCGGCUUAGCCAGGGAGGUGAUGGCCUUGAUCUUCUCCGGGUUAGCCUCAAUGCCUCUGUCAGAAACCAAGAAACCCAAGAGUUUGCCUGCAGGAACACCAAAGACACACUUGGCCGGGUUAAGCAUCAUCUUGUAGACCCGGAGAUUAUCAAAGGUUUCCCUUAAAUCAUCUAUCAGGGUUUCCUCUUUUAUGGAUUUAACCACAAUAUCGUCCACAUAAGCGUGAACAUUGCGCCCAAUCUGUUUAUGAAGACAGUUCUGUACACAACGCUGGUAAGUCGCAUGUGCACACUUGAGUCCAAAGGGCAUAGACACAUAGCAGAAGGCUCCAAAGGGAGUGAUGAACGCCGUCUUCUCCUGGUCCUUAACUGCCAUCUUAAUCUGAUGAUAACCGGAAUAAGCAUCCAAGAAAUUUAAACGUGCACAACCUGUCGUAGCAUCAAUGAUUUGAUCAAUACGGGGGAGGGCAAAAGGAUCAGCCGGACACGCCUUGUUUAAGUCCGUGUAGUCCACACACAUUCGCCAAGUGCCGUUCUUCUUGAGUACGAGCACCGGGUUAGCUAACCACUCUGGGUGAAAGACUUCAACGAUAAACCCGGCCGCCAAGAGCCGGGCCACUUCUUCACCAAUAGCUUUCCGCCUCUCUUCAUUAAACCGCCGAAGGAACUGUCUGACCGGCUUAAAUUUUGGAUCAACAUUGAGAGUAUGCUCAGCGAGUUCUCUAGGUACACCUGGCAUGUCAGAAGGUUUUCAUGCGAAGAUGUCCCUAUUCUCACGAAUGAAAUCGAUGAGCGCGCUUUCCUAUUUUGGAUCCAGAUUUGCACUGAUGCUAAACUGCUGAGAUGAGUCACCUGGAACAAAAUCAACAAGUUUAGUCUCAUCAGCCGAUUUAAAUUUCAUUGCCGGCUCUUGUUCUGUAGUUGGCUUUUUCAGAGAGGUCAUAUCUGUUGGGUCAACAUUGUCUUUGUAAAACUUCAACUCCUCUGUAGCACACACAGAUUCUGCAUAAGCCGCAUCGCCUUCCUCACACUCCAGAGCCACUUUCCGGCUGCCGUGAACCGUAAUGGUCCCAUUGUGACCCGGCAUCUUGAGCUGUAAGUACACAUAACACGGCCGUGCCAUGAACUUGGCAUAAGCCGGCCGUCCAAAUAUAGCAUGGUAUGGACUUCUUAUUUUGACCACCUCAAAGGUCAAUUUCUCCACCCUGUAGUUGUUCUCAUCACCAAAAGCCACUUCCAAUUCGAUCUUGCCGACUGGAUAAGCCGACUUACCGGGUACCACACCAUGGAAGAUAGUGUUUGACUGGCUGAGGUUCUUAUCAACCAACCCCAUACGGCGAAAAGUCUCAUAAUAGAGGAUGUUGAUGCUGCUGCCUCCAUCCAUGAGCACCUUUGUGAACUUAUAUCCUCCUACUUGAGGAGCCACCACUAAGGCCAAGUGGCCCGGGUUAUCCACCCGGGGAGGGUGAUCCUCCCUACUCCACACUAUAGGCUGCUCAGACCACCGCAAAUAGCGUGGAACCGCCGGCUCCACAGCAUUCACAGCCCUCUUGUGAAGCUUCUGAUCUCGCUUGCACAGACUAGUGGUAAACACAUGAUACUGUCCACCGCUAAGCUGCUUUGGAUUGGUCUGAUGACCCCCCUGCUGCUGUUGAUGACCCUGGCCAGACUGCUGAUUAAAGCCCCCUUGACCGUUCUGAGGACCGGAAUUUGAGCCGCCGCCCGGGCCAUGAAAGCCGCCGGCGCCUGAGCCGCCGCCCGGGCCAUUGUAAUUCUUAAAAGCCUUCAUGAUUGCACAAUCCUUCCACAGAUGAGUCGCUGGCUUCUCUCUAGAGCCAUGCCUUGGACAAGGUUCAUUCAACAGCUGCUCCAGCGUCGGACCUGACCCGCCGCCUCGGGGAGGGGGCCUCCCCUUGCGUCGCUGGUUAUUACCUUGUGAGCUGGCGUUGGCUACAAACUCUAGGCUGCCAUCGGCCUUGCGCUUGCCUCCUCCUUGGUUCCCCGGGUUAAACUGAGGACCCUUGCCAUUGCCGUUCUUCUUUCCCUUCCCUGUCCUUUCAUCAUCUGAAGGGGGAUCCUUGGUACCAUCAGAAUCGGCGUACUUGACAAGAGCCGCCAUUAGUGUACCCAUAUCACUGCAGUCGCGCUUAAGCCGCCCGAGUUUCAUCUUCAGGGGCAUAAAACGACAAUUCUGCUCUAGCAUUAAAACCGCUGAACCGGCAUCCAUCUUGUCUGAUGAGUGUAUGAUCUCCUUAACCCGGCGAACCCAAUGUGUCGUAGACUCACCCUCCUGCUGCUUACAGUUAGUCAAAUCCACAAUUGACAUAGACUGCCUACAGGUAUCUUUGAAGUUUUGGAUGAACCGGGCUUUCAGCUCAGCCCAAGACCCAAUGGAAUUCGGUGGUAGCCCUUUCAACCAAGUGCGGGCAGUCCCAUCUAACAUCAUGGUGAAAUACUUCGCCAUGGCCGCCUCACUGACCUCUAGCAGCUCCAUAGCCAUCUCAUAACUCUCGAUCCAGGCUGCGGGCUGUAAGUCAGCUGUGUAAUUAGGCACCUUUCUAGGGCCCUUGAAGUCCUUAGGUAGACGUUCAUUACGGAUAGCUGGCACUAAACAAGGGACACCCCCGGUCCUGGUAGGGAUACCCACGUCGACGGAAGUCGUCGGAUAAGCCGGGGGGGUCUGGUAAGCCGUCAAUUGAGGCACUUGCUCCGCUUCUUGCCGCGCUUUGUCCUGGUCUGCUGCAUAAAAGGCUCCAUUAUAAGUCGGGCCAUGGCCAGGAGGCGGGUCAUGGCGUCGGACGUUACUUGAGCCGGUCGCUGAGACCAUGUGUCUGUUGUAACUCGGGCUCUGGCCUGGACGAGGGGUCGAGUGGAUCAUGUCCCGGCUGUAGGAAUACGCCUCUUGCUGCGCCAGUGCUGUCUGAAGGAGUUCCCUAACCCGGCGGGUUUCAAUAGCCGUCGGAGAGUCGCCGUCAACUGGGAGAGCCGCCAGCCGUGCUGCCGCAGCGACCAUGUUCUCCAGCGGGUUAUUAUAAUGACCCGGGGGUAUUGGCACGUACUGAGGCGGGGCAGGGGGCACCUGGGGAGGCCCCAUCACCUGUGGCUGAAUAGGGGUUCCGGACCCGGGCACUAUGACCCCUGGCGGGUUACUAGACCCUGCACCUGGCGUGUUGAAGAGGUUGCGUGGAUCGUAAACCGGAGGGAGUCGAGAUUGGGCCUUUUGAUGCCUCCUUCUCAUGACCUCAUUGGCCGCGUUCUGAUCCAUCGUGAGUUGGAAGGACUGCGCCUGGAUCAGCUGAGUUUGGGCAUCGAGAGCCGCCCUCUCCGCAGUCAGCCUGAUCCCCUCCGCUGCAAGAUCCUCUUUAGCUUUCAUUAGAUCCAAUUUUAAUUGUGCCACCUCCGCAUCGUGCUGAGCCUGAUCUGCCGGGUCAACCGUGGCGGUUAGCAGGGCCGUCAUCUUGUCCGUGAGAUCCAUCAGCACCUGAGCCGGAGAAGGCACCGGGUUUCCCGCUCCAGCAGCGGGGUUCUGAACAGGCUGCGCACCAGCCAUAAAAACUCCAACCUGACUUGGCGGCUCAAAUAGGUCCGGAAUACUGUCACCAUCGGAACAGCCCAUGAGCCUGCCAUCUUGAAGUUGGUACAACGAGUUUGACUCAUCGGUGGCCGACUCGCCGUCAGAGCCGGCGGCCGUCUCAUCACCAGAUCCAGACCGAUCAGAGGGUCCUCCAUGGAUACACCCCACAAAAGCAUGCCUUAAGGCAGGCCGGGCCCGGGCGGGUUGCGCACGCUGCGCCGUCUCGACGAGAUCGGCGCAGAGACCCGGCUCACCAAUCUUGCCAAUGAAAACAUGAAUUCCGCCGAAGGGGACCCGGUACCCGUACUCAAUUGAGCCGGCGUCGGGGCCCCAGUUUGCAUCGUCGAUGUAGAGCUUGCCUCGACGACUCUUGGUCAUCCGGCCGACAGCGUAUCCCUUGAGCCCUUCGAAGCUGCCCUUCAAGAACUCAAAUCCACCGUGCGCUAGCCCCACGGUGGGCGCCAACUGUCAUGGAAUUGUCACGGCAGAUGUCCUCGAGCUAGGACUUAGUCGUGGAGCCAUCGCAACUAGGAAGCUUGAAGGGGUUAAUGCGGGACAAGGAACACGAGGGUUUAUACUGGUUCGGCCCCUUACGGUGAAGGUAAAAGCCUACGUCCAGUUUGAGGUGGUAUUGAUUAGGGUUACGAUCACCAGGGAGCUAAACUGCUAUGCCCGGCUUUCGAUGAGAUUGUUCUCCUCUCUCAACCGCUGCCGGGUCGUCCCUUUAUAUAGGGAGGCUGACACCCAGCAGCCCUCAGAGUCCCGGCCGGCUCAUAAGAGUGUCCAGCUCGGACUCUCAAUCAUACUUGCCUUAUACUACAAGUUCUACCAUAGUAAUGAUUGUAACUACGGGCCCUCAGCCACAUCCGGGUCUUAAGCCCAUCUCUGGCCCAUCGUCUUCAAGCUUGGUUCCGGGCUUCUGGCAACGACCAUAUGAGUAACCCGGCCCCUCUUGGCGGGUGACUCUAAGGUCUAUAUCCUCAACAAUGUAUGAUUGGUUAUCUUUGCAAGUCUCUUCGAAUUAUCAGUUUGGUUUGGCCUACUAGAUUAAUCUUUCUUGCAAUGGGAGAAGUGCUUAGCUUUGGGUUCAAUCUUGCGGUGUCCUUUCCCAGUGACAGCAGGGGCAGCAAGGCACGUAUUUUAUUGUUGCCAUCGAGGAUAAAAAGAUGGGGUUUAUAUCAUAUUGCUUGAGUUUAUCCCUCUACAUCAUGUCAUCUUGCCUAAUGCGUUACUCCGUUCUUAUGAACUUAAUACUCUAGAUGCAUGCUGGAUAGCGGUCGAUGUGUGGAGUAAUAGUAGUAGAUGCAGAAUCGUUUCGGUCUACUUGUCGCGGACGUGAUGCCUAUAUACAUGAUCAUGCCUAGAUAUUCUCAUAACUAUGAUCAAUUCUAUCAAUUGCUCGACAGUAAUUUGUUUACCCAUCGCGAUACUUAUGCUAUCUUGAGAGAAGCCACUAGUGAAACCUAUGGCCCCCGGGUCUAUUUUUCAUCAUAUUAAUCUUCCAACACUUUGCUAUUUCUAUUUCCGUUUAUUUUACUUUGCAUCUUUAUCAUAAAAAUACCAAAAAUAUUAUCCUAUCAUAUCUAUCAGAUCUCACUCUCGUAAGUGACCGUGAAGGGAUUGACAACCCCUUUAUCGCGUUGGUUGUGAGGUUCUUAUUUGUUUGUGUAGGUGCGUGGGACUCGCGCGUGGUCUUCUACUGGAUUGAUACAUUGGUUCUCAAAACUGAGGGAAAUACUUACGCUACUUUGCUGCAUCACCCUUUCCUCUUCAAGGGAAAACCAACACAGUGCUCAAGAGGUAGCACGCAUCAAAACCACAACGGUGAUUUAUCAAGUUUGUUGUUUUUAACCUUCAACAAGGACCGGCCGCAUUCAAAGUCGAUUCAACUAAAGUAGUAGAAACAGACACCCGCCAGCCACCUUUAUGCAAAACUAGUUGCAUGUCUAUCGGUGGAACCGGUCUCAUGAACGUGGUCAUGUAAGGUUGGUCUGAGCCACUUCAUCCAACAAUACCGCCGAAUCAAAAUAAGACAUUGGUGGUAAGCAGUAUGACGAUCACCGCCCACAAUUCUUUGUGUUCUACACAUGCAUAUCAUCUACGCAUAGACCUGGCUCGCAUGCCACUGUUAGGAAACGUAGCAUGCAAUUUCAAAAAAAAAUCUACGCUCACGCAAGAUCUAUCUAGGAGAUGCAUAGCAACGAGAGGGGAGGAGUGUGUCUACGUACCCUUGUAGACCAAAAGCGGAAGCGUUAGACAACGCGGUUGAUGUAGUCGAACUUCUUCUAGCUCUGACCGAUCAAGUACCGAACGUACGAAACCUCCGAGUUCUGCACACGUUCAGCUCGAUGACGUGCCUCGCCCUCUUGAUCCAGCAAGGUGUUGAGGAAGUAGAUGAGUUCCGUCAGCAUGACAGCGUGGUGACGGUGAUGGUGAAGUGAUCCGCGCAGGGCUUCGCCUAAGCACCGCGACAAUAUGACCGGGGUGUAAACUGUGGAGGGGGGACGCCGCACACGGCUAACAGUUGUUGUUCUAUGUUGUAGGCGCCCCCUUCCCCGCAUAUAUAUAUAUAGGUUGGAGGGGAGGAGAGGCAGCCAAGGGGGCGCCCCAAGUAGGAGGAAUCCUACUUGGGGUCCUCUCCCAAUUCGGCCAACCCCCCUCUCCUAUUCCUAUUCGGAGUAGGAAGGGAAGAGGGAGAAGGGGGAAUCCUAUUCCCUUUUUCCUUUCCUCCUUCCCCUUUACUUCUCCAAUUUUUCCAUCCCAUAUGGGGGGCGCACCAGCCCCUUUGUGGCUGGUGUGUUUCCCCUCUUGGCCCAUAAGGCCCAUAUCUUUUGCCGGGGGUGCCCGGAACCCCUUCCGGUGACCCGAUAUGUACUCGGUACACUCCGGAACACUUCCGGUGUCUGAAUACUAUCAUCCUAUAUAUCAAUCCUUACCUCUCGACCACUUAGAGACUCCUUGUCAUGUCCGUGAUCUCAUCCGGGACUCUGAACAACAUUCGGUCACCAAAUCACAUAACUCAUAUAAUACAAUAUCGUCAUCGAACGUUAAGCGUGCGGACCCUACGGGUUCGAGAACUAUGUAGACAUGACCGAGACACCUCUCCGGUCAAUAACCAAUAGCGGAACCUGGAUGCUCAUAUUGGCUCCUACAUAUUUUACGAAGAUCUUUAUCGGUCGAACCGUUAUGACAACAUAUGUUAUUCCCUUUGUCAUCGGUAUGGUACUUGCCCGAGAUUCGAUCGUCGGUAUCUUCAUACCUAGUUCAAUCUCGUUACCGGCAAGUCUCUUUACUCGUUCCAUAAUACAUCAUCAUGUAACUAACUCAUUAGUCACUUUGCUUGCAAGGCUUCUUAUGAUGUGUAUAACCAAGAGGGCCCAGAGAUACCUCUUCGAUACUCGGAGUGACAAAUCCUAAUCUCGAUCUGUGCCAACCCAACAAACAGCUUUGGAGAUACCUGUAGAGCAUCUUUAUAACCACCCAGUUACGUUGUGACGUUUGAUAGCACACAAGGCAUUCCUCCGGUAUCCGGGAGUUGCAUAAUCUCAUAGUCGGAGGAAUAUGUAUUUGACAUGAAGAAAGCAAUAGCAAUAAAACUGAACGAUCAUUAUGCUAAGCUAACGGAUGGGUCUUGUCCAUCACAUCAUUCUCCUAAUGAUGUGAUCCCGUUUAUCAAAUGACAACACAUGUCUAUGGUUAGGAAACUUAACCAUCUUUGAUCAACGAGCUAGUCUAGUAGAGGCUUACUAGGGACACAGUAUUUUGUCUAUGUAUCCACACAUGUAUCAAGUUUCCGAUUAAUAAAAUUCUAGCAUGAAUAAUAAACAUUUAUCAUGAAAUAAGGAAAUAUAAAAUAACAACUUUAUUAUUGCCUCUAGGGCAUAUUUCCUUCACAUGUCGGGUCCGGUUGAGCUCAACCUCCUUUGGGAGAUUCAAUUUCCUUUGAAGAUUAGAAUCUUCCUAUGGCAACUAGUCAGGGGCCGCCUUCCGUCCAGCACGGAGGUGCGUAAACGCAAUGGCCCCUCUGACGGCCUCUGCCCCUUGUGUUCGGUUCCUAAGGACUCGAACCACAUUUUCUUUGCAUGCCCCUCUGCGAGAAUUUUAUGGAACUACCUUUGCGAGGUGGUGGGUGGCCGUUGGUGCCAUGCUAACCUCCCGGAUAUGUUUGCAGAGGUUCGCGCAUUUCCCGGUACAGGGCGUCCCUCCCUCUGGGUGUCAGUUAGGACGCUGUUGUGGACAUUAUAUGGAAUGUCCGUAAUAAGUUGGUGAUUGAACACAUCAUUCUGUUGUGGGUGACUAACGCUGUUUACAAACUGUGUGGCUUUCUACAGCUCUUGAGGCCGCUUAGCAAGCGUCAAGACCGUCUGUCCAUCGACAGGAUGAUCGCCGAGCUCCACACCACCGCAUCCAGACUUGCACCACCGCUCCCGCUACCGCUUCCCCCUCCUCUUAUGGAGCCGGAUUAGCUUAUGAUGCUUGAUGCUUGAUUUUGGGGAUUGUUGUGCUGCUCCCCCAGCAAGACUUAUGUUUCUCAUACUGUGUGUGUCUUCGGUUCGGUUUCCGGAACCUUGCUACCGUCUCUUUGUGUUGUGGUCGUUGUUUUAUAAUAUAAAGCGGUGGAAACCCUUUUUCGUCAGAUCUUGCUGCACCUUCUUCAACACCUCAACGAAGUUCUCAGCUCCAUCCACGCCUCUUUCUUCGCAAAGUAGCACAUAUAUCCAAUGCCUUAGUCACGUCAUGCAGUGGCACCUAGAUCGGCAGAUCCUACCGUUGAUGUGUCCCUUCUUGAUUGCACAGUCGGCGCACCAAUGAGCAUUCUUAAGAUCCCCUACCUUGAGGUACUGAUCCAUAAAAAUCCCUCACAUCUUUGAGUUAAGUCUUUCUCUGAGCACCUUGGGACGCUUCUUGAGAACAAUGGCCUUGGCAAGCAUACCUACAGUAACAUAUGUUUCGAUCAAAGCAUUUGGAUGUUUCAGGUUAAGCUCCGCUAGAAUGUGGCACACAGAACAUCUCUCAAGAACCCAUGAACUUUGUGAAUAUCUCCACAAUUGAUUAUAAAAUAAUUGAUAGUACAAACAAAAAGAGCUGAGAUGAUGAGUGUGUACAUAUAACUUAGAAAAGUGUGUUCUUCUACUUUAACAUGCAUGCCUAUGGGAAACUGAGAUUUUUCUGUGUUUCACCUUCCAUGAUUUCUAAAUUCACUAAUUUUUUUGAUAAUGGGUGGAUUUUAUUGACUCAAAAUAAAGCAUCAAGAGAAUACAAACACAAUGAUCACACACACAGCCUCUGCAUAGUUAGGAUGCACACAGCCAACACCAACACACACACACAAAAACACGCCAGCAAAUAGCAAAGUCAUAUAAGACCAAAGCUAUGCAUAGGCGAGGUAAAAAGAACAGAACGAUCAGAUCCGCAAUCGACAAACUACAACAAUGAAUGUAUCUGCACCAACCAUCUUAUUGACACCACGGACGACAAGGUUCUUCAAAAGCAACGCCUUCAGGAAGGGAGUGACGCUUGAGCGCCUCCAUCACCGGAUCCAACCACUCAAGGCCAGAAUCUAGGUUUUCACCUGAAGAAUCAGUCUGAGAAUAUCCAAGAAAUGCCUUCAACAAGGUAAUGACGUAAAAACAUCGUCAUUGCCAAGUAUAACCAACUCGGGUCAAACCUAGGCUUUCACCUCGGAGCUUGAGACCGGGUGCUCAAGUAGCACCAUCAUUUCUAAGGUCACUAAUUUACACUGAUGAUAACUACUAGGUCUUCUAGAAAGCGGUUUACAAGAUCAUAUUCAUCGCUGACCAAACUAUCACUCGUGAACAAAUAUGUUGUUAAAUUCAUCAUGCUUCGCUCACAGAGCAAACCACAAUUAAUUUGAGAGAUGGUACCUCCCUGUAGGUUCUUCUUUCACCAUCCCUGGACAAAGAUUGCGAUUAGAAUAAGCAAGCUCAACUUUUAAAGUGUAUGGCCAGAAUUGCAUAUUAAAAGAUACUGAAUAUGGCAAGAGCAACAAAUCCAUGACUAGGUAAUUUCCUCUGCUCAGUCAUCAGUUUGAAAAAAUGGUAAACAACUUUGUAGCCCAGUGAAAAUGUGAUGAUAUCUUAGUUCGAACCGAAAAUGAAUAUUUACCCCAACAUAUACAUGUGAUCCGCGUGUGACCAACAGAAUAUUACCUGCGGGUAGACAACACUAGAAACACUGUUACUCAUCAUGAACUACACGCCAUUCAAUAGCAUCACACUUAUCACACACUAAUUUGACUCAAGUUUUAAGCAUUGCCCACUCUUUCUCUUUAUAUAUCUCUAAACCAUAUGCACCUUUUCAAUGUUGCUUCCGUUAGUCAUCAGCUUGCGACUAUAUAAUUAUUGUUGCACUUUUCAUGCGUUCUCUUGCCGAUGAGUUGAGAUUUUAGAAGAAACUGGAAGAAACUGGAAGAAAUUAUGGAGAAACCACAGAUGCAUCAUGGGUGUGUGCCCGCUAAGAAACCAUGAAAAUUUGACAGGAAAGCGUGUUGCUGCAGAUCCAAUAUCCAUAGAACUAAUUUUGUGACAGAAUUUACGUUCCAUUGAGAACAUUGCAAGCCCGUCAAAAUGGGACUGAUUUGACCCAUGGAGAAGUGUUCAAUUUGUUCGAGUCAAGUGUGUAAAGUGUGUACUAUUGAGAAUCGUUGGGUAUGUCGAUUGAGAGAAGAUGAAUCAAAGUGUUUAGAGUGGAGGGCAAGUAUGGAAUUCAUCAUUCGCUUGUUCCAUGUAAUUAAAGAGCAUGGCAAUAUGAUAGUUCUUCCUCCUCCAAGAGAGAAUGUAGAAAUGAAGUUAUCCAUCCACACAAUGUUUAUAUUAUCAGUUUGUCACAAUCCAUAUGAAUCCAAACACCUUAUCUUUAGAUGAUAGGUCGUUUUGGUUGUUUUUUUGGCUGUUAGUUCAUAUCUUGGCACGCCGUGCCUGGGAGUGUUCCUUGUCUGUAAUAAGUCCAUAUGGAAUCGUUGACCUGGGGUAUGGUUCUAACACUUGCAAUAUCUAAAGAGUAUCUCUGUAAACUCUGCAAGUCUGAUGCAUGAUCAGCAGAUAAUCAUAGUUUGUAGUUUACAGGCAAACUGCGAUUCUAGGAAGUGAUACGAACAUAAAUGACGCAUGCAUGCGAGAAUCAAUGCUACUCAUGAGCUACACACCAUUUAGCAGCAUCAUGCUUAUCGUGCUACUAAUGCAACCUAUGUUUUGAACAUUGUCCACCAUGUUUCCAUCUCUAGACCAUAUGCAUCUUUUCUGAUGGCGUUCCUUCUGUUGGUCAUCAGGUUAUGAGUGUACACUCGUUACUGAACUUUUAAUGUGUUUCCUUGCUGAUGGUUUGAGAUUUUAGAAGAAACUGGAAGAGAACUUGGACAACUGUUCAUAGGGCCGGCCCUGUGUUCAUCUUCUAGUCCCUGUAGGUAUGCCCACCAAGAAACAAGUAAAUUUUGAUAGGAAAAUGCUCCGUUGCAAAUCCAGCAUAAGUCCCAUUGAGAAGCACGCCGGGAACCGCGCGUCCUCGGUAAAUUAUGACAGGCACUUCAACGACUUGAGUAGAUCAACAGACCUCCGAGCUGGCAGACCAUGGUGCCAUCGCCAGAGCCACUCUGGGACCAAGCUGCGGGGACAGCCGACAUGGCACUUCAUGGCAGUAUGGUAGAAACCGAUCAACCGUGACAGCUACAAGGCCUGUAGUGAUGUUUCCCCUAUUGUAGCCAAGGCCCUGAUGCCGGCUAGUUGUUAUAAUUCUGACAAUUGUAAAAAAUUAUAAUGGAUAAUAUAUUAAUAUGAGUUGAUACCAAGCCUCCACAACAACAGAAUGUCAAGAGUCAAUCAAGACAUUAAGAGUGCACAUCACCAAAUUAUUGUAAAGGAGAAAAAAAAAGAAAAAAAAAAGGGAAAAUCCAACCACUACAGGCUAUAUCAUGUGUAUUCACUCUAAAGACCUAGUCCGAACCGAACAUACAUCUGUUGACUGCUCUAUAUGUCAUGAAUGAUUAAAUGUAGACAUGGUCUACUUGAUCUUAUCUCUUGCACAACGAGAAAAAGUAUGCUAAAGUUAUUUUCUCUCUGUACACUAAAGGUAUAUAGCCUUUAUAUAUUUUUGUGUAGAUAUUAAGCACCAGAUGAGAAUUGCAAGAAGCAAUUAUUUAUGCCAUGUUCCGAUUUUGCUUUCAAUUUUUUGUGACGGAUCUUUGACAUUUUUUCACUCUUCAGACACACUCCCGUUUCAUAACCAUACGUAGUUCAGAGUAGCAAAGGAUUCAUUCAUCGCAGCUCAUAGCACAGAUACAAAGACAUUGCAGUCAGAGUACAUGAUUGAAAUUUUGAUUCCAGCAAGCGAAACAUGUAUAGUUCAUUUGGCCGACCACAGUACAACUAAAAAGCGGAGCAUUUCAAAAUCCAAGAACUUCAACGGCGUCCAGAAGCAGCCGACGAACAGAGAAUCCCAGUCUAAGAUUUCAGUAUACAUCCCGGAGUCACNNNNNNNNNNNNNNNNNNNNNNNNNNNNNNNNNNNNNNNNNNNNNNNNNNNNNNNNNNNNNNNNNNNNNNNNNNNNNNNNNNNNNNNNNNNNNNNNNNNNNNNNNNNNNNNNNNNNNNNNNNNNNNNNNNNNNNNNNNNNNNNNNNNNNNNNNNNNNNNNNNNNNNNNNNNNNNNNNNNNNNNNNNNNNNNNNNNNNNNNNNNNNNNNNNNNNNNNNNNNNNNNNNNNNNNNNNNNNNNNNNNNNNNNNNNNNNNNNNNNNNNNNNNNNNNNNNNNNNNNNNNNNNNNNNNNNNNNNNNNNNNNNNNNNNNNNNNNNNNNNNNNNNNNNNNNNNNNNNNNNNNNNNNNNNNNNNNNNNNNNNNNNNNNNNNNNNNNNNNNNNNNNNNNNNNNCCCAGCUCUCUGUUAUUGAGAUGAAACAAAGUGGAUGGCAAAACGAUAUAAUCAAUUCAACACAGAUGGAGUCGACCAGCUUGUCAGUACCCUCGCUGAGUUGCACGUUUUCGAUCUUCAGACGGUGUCGCAUCCCAGGGUACUUCUUCGAUGCUAAAUUUCAGUAUUACAUCCUGGCGUUGCAGGUUUUGCAGAGAAUAGCGAAAAAAAUCUGAAAGCACCCUCAUGAGAUUAGCAUGUGAACAACUGAAGAUUAUGCAUAGCUAGCCAACAUGGGAAAUUUGUUAAGACCUCAUGAGUUGCACACCAUUAAGCGGCAUCACACUUAUCGUGCUGCUAAUGUAACCGCGUUUCGAAUAUCUGUCCACUCUGUUUCUAUAUAUCUCUAGACCAUAUACAUCUGUCGGGAUUACUUCUGUUGCUCAUCAGGUUAUAAGUGCACACUCAUUACUGAACUUUUGAUAUUACUGAACUUAAUAAAGAUCGGCCAAUGGCCCUUCGACAUUACUGAACUUUUAUUUGUUUUCUUGCUGAUGCUUUGAAAUUGUAGAAUAAAUUUUAAAAUGUGGGCAAUUGGUGGUCUGGAGGUGCGUCUAGUUAUGCCCACGGACAAACCAUGAAAAAUCAAUAGAAAAAUGAUCCGUUGAAUCCAGCAUAUGCCCAUUGAGAAGAAGCCCGGCAAAAAUGGAAAUGAUUAUGUCCCAUGGAGCAGGGUGUCUAUAAAUUUCAUGGAUGACGUAGCAGCGGAUUCUACUUUCAAAUUUGUGAGGAUCUUGAAGACAAUUUACAACUCAGAGUACCCAUCAUUAGAGUUGUAAACUUGUGCACCUUUAGAGUACCCGUCGUAUGACUCAGAGUAGCAGCGGAUUUGUUCAUUGUAGCUCAUACCACAGAUGUAAAGACACUGCACUCAAAGUACAUGAAUUCAAAUUUUGAUUCCAACAAGUGAAGCAUGUAUAGUUCAAAGACAAGGCCACGGCCCACGGUAAAACUGAAAAGCAGAGCAUUUCAAACAGCCCAAGGACUCCGAUGGUGUGCAGAAAUCUUGGUGAACCAAAAUAAAUGUCAGGCUAACAUUUCAGUACAUAGGUUUGACAGAAGAAAACAACCUAUAAUCUGAAAACAUCAUGUUGUCUGUUAUUAAGACGAAAUAAAGUGGGGUGCUAACCAAUUAAUCAAUUAACAGUUCAACGCAGAUGGAAUCAACCAAUUUGGCGAUUACAUCGCUAACUUCCACAUUUUAUCUUUAUUAGACGGUGUCUCAUGCCAGGGAACUUUUUUCAGCCAUUGCAUACGCUCGUACAAACGGUUCGAGCACCAGUAACCCAGAUCUUUCUGCAACUUCUUUAGCACCUCAACGGAUUUCCCGGCUCUGUCUACGUCUUACAGAGCAUACGUGAACAAGUGGUUCACAAGAUCAUAUUCAUCGCCAACCAAAACAUCACUCGUGAGCAAAUAUGCUGCUGAAUUCGCCAGCCUUGACUUACAGAGCAAACUGCAGCAAAUUUGAGAGCUGGUACCUCCCUGUAGGUUUCUUCUUUCACCAUCCCAGGACAAGGAUUAUGAUUAGAAUAAGCAAGCUUAACUUCUACAGAGUAUGGUCAGAUAUGCAUAGUAAAAGAGCCUUGGCAAGACCAACAAAGCCGUGACUAGAUAAAUUCCUCCACUCAAUCAUCAGUUUGGAGAAAAUGUGAUGAUAUAUUAGUAACUGGAAAUGAACAUUUACCCCAACAUGUACAUGUGAUCCGCAUGUGAACAACAGAAUAUUAUCUGCAGGUGGACAACAUGAGAAACACUGUUACUCAUCAUGAACUACAUGACAUUCGACAGCAUCACACUUAUCACGCGCUAAUUUCACCGGAGUUUUAAGCAUUGCCCACUAUGUCUUUAUGUAUCUCUAAACCGUAUGCACCUUUUCUAUGUUGCUUCCAUUGGUCAUCGGGUUAUGACUAUAGAAUCAUUACUAAACAUUUCAUGUGUUCUCUUGCCGAUGAGUUGAGAUUUUAGAAGAAACUGGAAUAAAUUGUGGACAAAGUCCGGAGCGGCGGCGCGUAUGUGCCCGCUAAGAAUCCAUAAACCAUGAAAAAUUGAUAGGAAAGUGUAUUGCUGCAGAUCAAACAUCCUGAACCUGAUUCUCUGACAGACUUUUUGCCCCAUUGAGAACAAUGUAAUCUCUGUUAACUCUGCAAGUCUGAUGCAUGAUCGGCAUAUAAUCAUAGUUUACGGUUUAGACGCAAACUGCAACUCUAGGAAGGCAUGCAAACAUAUAUGAUCAAGACAGUAUGAAACAUAUGAGAAGUUUAUAUUGUAAUCACAGUAUGGUACAUACGAGAAAUGAACCGAGGGAAGUGAUUGUUCUUCACAUUCAGAUAGUCUAACUAGUACCUCUGCUGAUUUAAGGAGUUUAUUUGCAUAUACUUUGACUUGGGAAAACCGGAUACAUAUCCAUUUGAGCUUAAUGCCCGCAUCAACAACGUAUGAUGAAUUCCUUCAUGCAUUUAUUCCAUUAUUAUGGUUAUGCUAGUUAACUCCUCAUGAGCUAGACACCAUUCAGCAGCAUCACAUCUUCUGAGCUGCUAAGUUGACUAAAGUUUUGACUAUUCAUUAUUGUUCAUAUAUGUUUCUUCUAAACUCUCACGUCACUAGCAAAGACAUAGAACAUAAAACUCAAAAAGGUGUAGUUAUUGGUGCUCGAAGUGUGUUGGAUGAACGAAGCCAUACUUUUUUUUUUGCUCAAAGCAGUUAGUAUGAAGACACAACUUUUGUGCUCACUCGCAUUUCACAUGGCGAAGUUUGCGCUUGCUUCAUUUUGCUUUUACAGAUUAUGAAUCAAUAAUUCUGUGUAAUUACAAUUCCCAAAUGCGUUUGUGAUUAUCCCAUGUACCAAACCCUGCCCAGCAGCCUUUGCAGGUUUAUCUACUCUUUGUUUUGCAAGUUGUCUUGCCGUAUCAGCACUUGUCAAUACAGAAAUCAAGGUGAAUAGUGUCAGACACGCAAACAGCAGAGAUGUAAAGUUUCAAAAGAAAAGCAAAGUGCAAUUUCCAGAAAGACAGAUAAACAACAAUAGGCGAUCAAGACAAGCCAUCCUUGAUGCAAUCUACUCCCUCCGUCCCAAAAUAAGUGUCUUAACUUUAGUACAAAGUUGGAGACACUUAUUUUGGCACAAAGUUGUACUAAAGUUAAAACACUUAUUUUGGGACAGAGGGACUACAAGUUUGCAUGGUAAUCACAGAAUGAUACAUACAAAAGAAGAGAACUGGACUAAUUUAACUCAUAACAGCAAAGGAACAACAAAGGGACACAGAGGACAUCUCUCUCAGAGACCAAUCAAACUUCAAUAGUAACAUCAGCCAAUUGAUGAUCAUAAAACAAUAAUACAGAAAAGAACCAAGACGAGGAAUGUGUACAUUACAAAGGAAACUAGGUUCUUCUACUUUAACAUCCGUGUCCGUGGGUGUUUCCAUCUUCCAAGAUUUUCGUCGCCGCUAAUUUACACCCAUGAAAACUCCCCAACUCUUCCAGAAAGCGGUUUGAAGAUCAUAUACAUCGCUAACCAAACUAUCACUCAGGAACAAAUAUGAUGUUGAAUUUGUCAGGCUUUGCUUACAGAGCAAACCGAAAAUUAA